rnacentral:lncRNA from 1 species
GUUCAUAAUGUUGUCUUACUCGUGGUUGUUCCUCGAGCAUACACCAUUAUAUUCUUUGGUCUGACCAAUGCUAUCACCGUGUUCACUUAACUAUGGAAUUCCUUUUAAAAGGAAACCCGGAUGAAUUGUUGUUGAGCCCAUUGACAACAUCCUUAUCUCCUCCACGAUUUGUUGAACAUUAAGCUAGUGUUGGAAACUUUUGAAAGCAUUUCUUCAUGCUAGUUCAUGAAGCAUAUGUUCGGAUGUAAGAAGUGACUUCCUCCAGUUCAUGUGCAUUUGAUGCAAGUUGCCGCCGUGGAUUCGAGAAGGUCAAUGUUGUUUCCUUUGGAAUCAUCCCAAAUCAGUCAUGCAUACGUGCGAAGUAUUCUGUGGUCUGGAGACUUGCAACCUCCAUUCUAUAUGUGUCCCUAGCACACCAAGCCACUGAUUGAUUUGUUCAAGGUUAAUAAGUUCUAAGUGCUAGUCCCGAAGGUACCAGACGGAUUUGUACAAAACUUCGAUAUCCUCGCUGAUGGUUCCCCCUCCUGAACUCGGUAGUGUUUUAUUAUAAGACUACUUUGUGGUCAUGCUUGUCUGGGACAACGUGUUCACAUGUUUGUAGCAGAACCAGCUCAUGUUUUGGAGCUUACUAUCGCAGUUCAUUUCCCAAGAAUCUCGCAACGUCAUCUCGUCGAUUUGUGUUGCAAACUUUCAUUUUUCUUCCUAGACUCGAUGAGUCUGGAAUAUUCUGACACCAACCAGAUCUGAAUCUCAGGCAGAUAUGAUGAUUGGAACAUUUCCCAAGAACUAUAAUAUUGGUCCCUCGAUAACCGGUAAAGUGAAUGUCGUGGCCAACACACCCAGCCGGAAGACCUAUAAUUGUAGUAUCUUGAUUGAAGAAGUUGGCCACCUUCCCAUAAGGAUUUUGCAGGAUUUACUUCCGUAGUUAUUCCUUAUGAUUUCUGUGUUCCGAAGUCCGACCUUUUUACUUGAUGUUCUAGAUAUCAAACCAUAUCUAUGAAUGGGUUACACUAGCACAUCAAGGAGAACAUUAGAAGCGGAGUGCUAAAUGUCUCUCGGUCGAUCAUCCAGAUUUUAUUUCCUUGGCCCCACCAAGGGUGAAAUCUAAGAAAGUGUUAUCUUCCUUUGCAUCUGCAUCAUCCAUCAUCAUUCAUCGUGGUAGCAAGUUGUGUUGCCAGGAUCCUUGACACGGAUAUUGGUAAAACCUUGAUGAUUAUGGAAAUGCUCAAGUUCUUGAGAGCACGCACAAGCGCUAGGUGUUAUCAUCGACACUAACUGGGAUUGCUCUCAGUUCCCUCGAUAAUGCUAUGACCUUUUCAAAUAGUGAAUUCACUCUCUAUUGUUGGGUUCUUCCCCAGUUACCAGAAUCAUUCCCAGCAUUUGCAUUUUGCUCCCAGCUUGCACCGCUAAUGUGCCAUUCUACCAUGGGUCUCAUCCAUUUCCAAUGAUAAACAAAAUCAUCUAUGAUGUUGUCUUCAACAAGGUAAUCCACAUCAUCCAAGUCCGAGUAUGCCAUUCUACCGACCCCCUCCAAACGAUCGGUCGAGAAUUGCCUUAGGUUGGUUUAAAGAGUUUCAAUGAUCUUUGAAUCAAAGGUAAUUCUUUUUGCCACUUAAGGGGAUAUAUCUACAAGUCACCUUCCCUAAGGUGCCCCGUUAUGGUAUCAUGGCAACUCAACACCUCGCAAUGUUGACAACCGUUUACCACCUUCUUAGGUGUGGAAUUAUUGUCUACCUGGUAAACCUCCGUCAUUUGUUCCACUCCAUUCCUCUAGAGGUGUGCUUCGUCUCUCAGCUCGGGAGAUGUUGCUAUGUCUCAUUCUGUGAGUUAAUCCUGAGUUGUUCGACCUUCAAGAAGAUCGAUCCUUCUAGAGUCUCCUUCUCCUCUCAUUGUCAUAAUAACUGGAGUUCUCAGAACAAGACGUCGAGACAAAGAUGGUGAUCGAAACAACGUUCCUAUGAAGUGCAACCUGGAUCGUGAAGAUUGUGCUAGUUUGCGUCCCCCCUUCACCUUACCCUACGCUUGAAUCUCGGGACGAGAUUUUUGUUUAGUGGGGGUGAGUUGUCACAUCCCUGGUCCUGUUAUGCACUAGGCUAGACCUCAUGUGAGCAUCAUGUUUUAAUUCAAAUGAAAUGUGAAUUGAGGGAUUUUUCAAAGCCUCAGAAACCUUCAAAAAAAAUGAUCAACAUUAAAAUCUUCUCAAAGAAGUCCAAGAAAAUGUUCCUCUUAGUCUCUGAAAAUAUUGCAAAGAGGUAAAACUCAAAACAAUAUUUUUGGUAUCUCAGAGUUAAUUAUUUUGGGCCUUUGAAUUAAAUAAAUAACUAUUUGCAUUGGAUAUAUAUUUGAUAUAUAAAUAAUAUAUGUCCAAUAAUACUGGAACAUUUUAUGUGGUUUGGUAUAUUUUAGUUCUAGCCACAUAACUAUUUCCAGGAUUUUAUAAAAUGGUUUAGUAUUUUACUAAACUAAAACAACACAGAACAAAAUAAAAAAAACAGAAAUAGAAAACAGGAGAGAGAGAAAACUACCUGGCGCUCACCUCUCAGCCCAGCCGGCCCAGCUCCUGUGCGGCCCAGCCCACCAGGCGUCCCCCCCCCUAUCGUCUUCCUCCCCUCUCCCCGAAGCAGCUCGAUGGCGAGCGCUGGCGAUGCCCCGGCCACCUCCUGCUUGCCGCUUUCCUCUCGUCGCCCUGGACCCCGUCCGCGACGCCACGCGCCUCCCCGACCCCCUCUCACUUCUCCCUCGCUCUCUGGACCGCUCUCCCCCCUCCUNNNNNNNNNNNNNNNNNNNNNNNNNNNNNNNNNNNNNNNNNNNNNNNNNNNNNNNNNNNNNNNNNNNNNNNNNNNNNNNNNNNNNNNNNNNNNNNNNNNNNNNNNNNNNNNNNNNNNNNNNNNNNNNNNNNNNNNNNNNNNNNNNNNNNNNNNNNNNNNNNNNNNNNNNNNNNNNNNNNNNNNNNNNNNNNNNNNNNNNNNNNNNNNNNNNNNNNNNNNNNNNNNNNNNNNNNNNNNNNNNNNNNNNNNNNNNNNNNNNNNNNNNNNNNNNNNNNNNNNNNNNNNNNNNNNNNNNNNNNNNNNNNNNNNNNNNNNNNNNNNNNNNNNNNNNNNNNNNNNNNNNNNNNNNNNNNNACCGGCCACCCCACGCCUCGCCUAAGCGCCAAGAAGCUCCGCCCCGUCCCCCUCUUCCUCCUCACCAAGACGGAAGGCGCCGGAAGCCCUGGAUGCUGCCAGCUUCGCCGUUCCCCUCCUCGGCCACCGCGGGUCGCCGCCGUCAAAUCCGUCCCCGUCCGGCCUCCCUCAAGCUCGCCGUCCACCUCUACAGGGUCUACGUGAGCUCUCCGUCCGUUUCCCCCUCUCUGUUUCGUCAUUCGCGCGCCGUAGCUAGGUUAUCUACCAAGGCCGAAACCCCACCGCCGCCGGCCAUGCCGCCGCCGUCGCUCUAGCUAGCGUAGCUCGCGUCCGACCUCAGGCCCGUGCUUAGGAGCUCCCCAGAAGGCCAAGUCCACCACCCGUUUCCCCUCCCGUGCACCCUAGUGCUGAAACCGCUGAGACCCGAACUCCGACAGCCGCCACGGGUUCCACUCCGGCGAACUCCGGCCACCCCCGCACCUCCCGUUGGUCCCCCUAGAUGCGCACGGGCACGGGCUAUCCUCUGGUGCCCCUGGCGCAUCGAUCCGUCGACUCUGGCGAGUUCCGAGCAAACUCCGCCGCGGUUCGAGGUCACCGCCGGCGAAACUCCGGCGGGAGCUGACGUGGCUCCAUCAUUAGGAGCUAACCCAGCUAGUUAAGCAACCUACAGCCACUGACAGUGGGCCCCACCCCUGGUCAAACCCCAGUCAGUGCUGGGUUUGACCGGGAUUAGUUCCUGUGUCACUGACGUGUGGACCCCGCACGUCAGGUUUGACCUGGACCUGGUCGUUGACUCGCUGACGUCAUGCUGGCGUCAGGCUGACGCAGUUAAAUCAUUUUCUGGAUUUAAAAUAAAUUCAGGAAAUUCCAGAAAAUUGUAUAAACUUCUAAAAAUCAUAGAAAUUCAACCGUAACUCCAAAUCAAAUAAAUUAUAUAUGAAAAAUUAUCAGAAAAAUUCAAGGAAUCCAUCUGUACCAUUUUCAUGCAUGUUAGAACAACUUAUAGCUGCUGUUUAGCACAAAUCAAUUAAAUGGCAUUUGAAUAAUCACAUAUGGAGUUUGAAUUUGAAUCUUGUAUUCAAACCAACUUCAUUUAAAUCAUAGCUAGGUGCAUUAGCCCAAAACACAUUCAUAUUGCCAUGUCAUAGCAUGCAUCAUAUUGUGCAUUGCAUUGAUCGUGUUUCUUCUGUGUUUGCCGGUGUUGUUCCCCCUCGGUAGACGCUGUACCGAUGAUGUGAUCAUUGACACUGAUGAAGACUCAAUGUUAUCUUCAGAAGUGCCAGGCAAGCAAAACCCCCUUGUUCAUUCCGAUACAAUCCUACUCUCUCGCUCCUGCUCUCUUUUACUGCAUUAGGACAACAACGAUUCAUCUGUUACUUGCUGCGGUAGCUGAACCCCUUUAUCCUUUGCAUGACCUGUCAUUGCCACAGUAAAUAGAUGAAACCCACUAGCAUGAGUAGGAGUUGUUUGAGCCCUGUUGUGCCUACUCAUUCAUGCUUGUUUGUCAUGCCUGCUACUGCUUAGAGUUGAGUCAGGUCUGAUUCAUCGGGGAUGAAUCAGAGGUGUGUAAACAUGCCCUACUGUGUGUGAGCUAAGUGUGUGAAUACGAUUUGGUAAAGGUAGCGGUGAGAGGCCAUGUAGGAGUACAUGGUGGGUUGUCUCAUUGCAGCCGUCCUCAGGAACUGAGUUCUGUGUUUGUGAUCCAUGAUUCAGCUACUACCAUACAUUGGGACCUGAAAUAUGACCCCGCUCGACUUCUUAUCCACCCUUGUCCUCUGUCCAGGAGUUGCAAGUAGUUUCUGGUGUUUGUAGUAUGCUGGAGGCCGUGGGCAGCGCUGACCGGAGGGGUGGGCUGUGAUGCGGUAGGCACGUGGCACGGUGUACCGGGUGCCCGUUUGGUGUCUCGGGAACCCUGUUCACAUCGUUUGGGGCUAUGAGCGAAACUCCGGCCGGAUCUCCUCAUGGAUGGAACCCGAAUAGGCGAUAAACCUGGACUAGAGCCUUGAGUGUUUAGGUAGGUCGUGGUCUACACCCACGUCGGCUUUCGCUUGAAGUCUGCCGAGCACAUGUCGUGUGCAGACGCUAAGUGGUUGAAACAUGUAUGAAGAAGUACACCCCUGCAGGGUUAACAUCAUCUAUUCGAAUAGCCAUGUCCGCGGUAAAGGACUUCUGGGUUGCCUAUAUCAGUUCAUAGACAAGUGACAGUGGAUACUCUAAAAUACGCAAGAUAAGCGUGAGUGCUAUGGAUGGCGUUCUCGUAGGGACACGGGAGCGGUUCCAUAGUGGUGUAUUGGUUGGUGAAUAUGUGGACUCGUGUGCGCCACCCCAAAAGAGUUACUUGCAGUCGUAGUUCAGGAUAGCCAUCGAGUCAAAGCUGGCUUGCUGCAGUUAAACCCCACCAUCCCCUUUGUUGAUAAUGAUGCAUAUGUAGUUAGUUCUGAUGUAAGUCUUGCUGGGUACAUUUGUACUCACGUUUGCCUAUUUUAUGUUUUUGCAGAGAGACUUCAGUCUCACUAGUAGUUCCACGUGGACUUUGACGUUUAGCUUGUUACCUCAGCUACGAUCUUGUGCCCUCGGCAGGAUCUGAUAGAUAGUCAGGCUUCUCAGCCUUUUUCAUUUAUAGAUGUCUGUACUCAGACAUUGUAGCUUCCGCUUGUGCUUGAUUUGUAUGCUCUGAAUGUUGGGUCAUGAGACCCCUGUUUGUAAUAUCUCGCUCCUCGGAGCCUAUUGAACAUAUACUUGAGUCAUAGAGUCAUGUUGUGAUGCCAUGUUGUAUUUGCACAUAUCGAGCAUAUUGUGUGUAUGUUAUUGAAAUGCUUGGUAUGUGUGGGAUCUGGCUAUCUAGUUGUUUAUCCUUAGUAGCCUCUCUUACCGGGAAAUGUCUCCUAGUGUUUCCACUGAGCCAUGGUAGCUUGCUACUGCUCCAGAACACCUAGGCUGGCCGGCAUGUGUCCUUCUUCGUUCCUGUGUCUGUCCCUUCGGGGAAAUGUCACGCGAUGAAUACCGGAGUCCUGUUAGCCCGCUACAGCCCGGUUCACCGGAGUCCUGCUAGCCCAGUGCUACAGCCUGGAUUCACUCGCUGAUGACCGACACGUUCGAUGCUGGGUCAUGGAUGCCUGUCCCUAUAAGUUAGUGCCACUUUGGGUUUACGACUAGCCAUGUCAGCCCGGGCUCCUUAUCAUAUGGAUGCUAGCGACACUGUCAUAUACGUGUGCCAAAAGGCGCAAACGGUCCCGGGUAAAGGUAAGGCGACACCCGUGGGAAUACCGUGCAUGAGGCCGCAAAGUGAUAUGAGGUGUUACAUGCUAGAUCGAUGUGGCAUUGAGUCGGGGUCCUGACAAAAGCAGACAAGCCACGCCGCAUUAUGGAACGCCCAGGUGGUCUCUAUUGCAAGCAGUAUACCUGUUUUUUAAUACAAUUCCGUGGCCUGCCCCUGGCCAGGACAUGUUAAAUAGUCCAAUUUCUUUUGCUUAUUGCAAUAUUUGUAUCAUUCCGCUUUCAUAGCAGCCUUUCUAUAAACAAUGCAUAGCUUUUUGUCUAUUUUUUGCAUUAUCUUCUUUUUAUAUAUAUGUUUAUCAAUAACAUGUUGCAUCCGUACACUAUGGUACGGCAAAAAUACGCCAGGGGCUUCAGUACCCAUCAAUAUGGCGUGAGAAGUCCGUACACUUCCACAAGUGCGGCACCCCGAACUUAUAGCACUAUAUGCAUCGGCUCCGAAUCAUGAUUUGGGUCAAUAGUUGGGUUUGCCCGGCUCCUAUGUUUUGGUGCCUUACGUUCCGCUAUAUCGGAUAAGGUAGCACUAGGAGAACUACUGCGAUUGUGCCCCAGUUGAGCUAGGCUGAGCACCUCAGUAGAGAAAGCUAAAACUGACUGUCAUGAUGAGGCGAGAGACCGGUCGCUGUUCAAGAGGUUUUUUCGAGUCCUUAAAGACUUAUGCCGCUUCGAGCGAGGAACCGGCUUUGUCCGGCAAAGGUGUGGAUAGCGCCCUGAACUCGGUCUUCCGAAUACUAGGGGCUUCGCCGAAAUUUAAAAUUAUAGAGUUCUAUGGCUAAGUGAGAGUGUUCAAGCAUUAUAGUCCGAUUGCCUUAUUCGUUGUGCUGAGCGCCUCCCUCGACGGACCCAAUCAUGGGAAAAAGAGCGCUCAGGUUUAUCCCGAACACCCCAGCACUAGUGGCAUGGGGGCAGAAGCCGACGACUGGCCAUCUCUCAUUUUUUUGAUAAACGGCCGCACUGAAAGUAAUAUUUUAAAUUCAAGCAUUGCUUAGCGCAUAUGAACAAGUUUUCAGCACACAGGAUAACACGAGCGAGUUCAUUCAAAAAUUACAUCCUUGGUGCAUUCAUCCGCCAUAAGGCGGGCACCGGCUAGAACAUCCUUGUAAUAGUUCUCAGGCUUGCGAUGCUCCUUCCCCGGCGGCGGUCCAUCCCUCACAAGCUUCUCACCGUCCAGCUUACCCCAGUGCACCUUUGCACGGGCAAGGGCCCUACGGGCACCUUAGAUGCAGAUGGAGCGCUUGAUGACCUCGAGCCUUGGACAAGCCUCCACCAGCCGCCGCACCAGUCCGAAGUAGCUCCCAGGCAGGGCCUCUCUAGGCCACAGCCGAACUACGAAGCCCUUCAGGGCCUGUUCGGCCACCUUGUGGAGCUCGACCAGCUGCUUCAGCUGGUCGCUCAAGGGCACAGGGUGUCCGGCCUCAGCGUACUGAGACCAGAACACUUUCUCUGUCGAGCUGCCUUCCUCGACUCGGUAGAAUGCGGCGGCAUCGGAUACGCUGCGGGGAAGAUCUGCGAAUGCCCCUGGAGAGCUCCGGAUUCGGGUAAGUAACAAGUAGUUUACUUCUAUAUGUCUGCUUUGCAUAGAGAAUGCCUUACCCGCCGCUAUCUUUUUCACCACAUCCAAUUCCUCGAGGGCCUUCUGGGCUUCGGCCUUGGCAGAUUUGGCAGUUUUAAGGGCUGCAGCAAGCUCGGACGCUCGCGUCUUCGAGUCGAGCUCCAAACUCUCAUGUUUUUUCAUGAGAGCCUGAAGCUCUUGCUGCACCUCGCCGACCUGCGCCUCAAAUUUCUCCUGCUCGGUGCGCUCCAUGGCCUCUCUCUUCUUGGCCUCGGACAGCGCCUACUUGAGGGUCGCCACCUCAGUUGUGCCCCCUACAAUAAGCAGUAUACUCCUGUCAUUUUUUGCAAUUGCGUCUUCUUAUAGGAAUUUUUUUCUAUAAGGUAUCUCUUACCUUCUUUCUCCUCGAGCUGUCAUUUGGCAAGGCCAAGCUCUUGCUCGGUCCGCUCGAGGCCCUGCUUCAGGGCACCCACCUCCGCAGUCAGUGCGGCGGUGGCCAGCAGCGAAGCCUGCAUACGUAUAUUGACUCCUUUUUAGUUAGACUCCUGCGAUAUUUAAUAUAUCCUCUAUUCGGCUUUUCUUUCCGAAUGCCAAAUAGAGCAUCAGGGGCUACUGUCUAUGCAGUAAUAUUUUUACAUAUUUCUACUUACCUCGAAGCCGGAAGUGCUGAGGACAGUGCUCUUGAUCCUGACUGGAGACCCCAACCCCGGCAGCAUCCAGCUGGGAGGGGCCUUGCUGUACCUCUGCCAGAACAGGGGCAAUUUUGUGAACCAGAUGCCUAUCUUUGAUGAGUGGGGGCCGCGCCCCGCCGGCCUCCAGGGGCCUCGCGAGAACCCAGUGAUGGUGACUACCCUUCCAGUCGGCCAAGGCGGCUCUUUCUCAAGUGGCGGAGCAGGGAGGCAUGAGGCGCCAGAGGCCGAGGGGGCUCCCGGCGGGGUGACAGCGCUGAGCGAUGCUCAUGAGGGAGCAGCUCUUGGGGCCCGUGCCGCUGAGGUUGAGGGUGGCAAGCAGCUGCCCUCAACGCCUGCGACUGAGGCCCCUGAGGCUCCAGCCGCUUCUCUUGGCGAGGCGAUCGGUUGCGCGCACCAGGCAGGCGCCCCUGAUGCGGAUCGCCUUGACGCUCCGUCUUCGUCGCAGGUUGAUCCCUGCGCUCAACUCUUGGGCCGCUUCUGCGUGGACUUUGAGGCCCUCCGGAAGAGAAGGGAGGCCCUAGGCAACAAUUACCCUUGUCGCCUGCUGAAGCGUAGGAAGUACUUCGCCACUGAUGAGUAAGCCUUCUCCUUUCCUAGCUCCCGAUCCUUCUGUUGAUUUUACUGAUCCUUGCUCCGCAGGCCCCUUCCAGCUGAGCUUGCGGGGACGGCUGAGGUGCCGUCCCCCUUGGCUCCGCCCCCUCCAUCGUCCUCAAGCGCCCCGAGCAGCAGAGCCCUUGUGGUGAGGGCGAUCAGAGAGGUGAACCAUCCCGAGGCGCAUCGUGGCCCUGCACACCUCGCGAUCCUCCUUCGCGGGCCUUCUCGUGGCAUAGCCAGCCUGCCGUGGGCUUCUCGCCUGAUCGUGGACUGCGAUUGGCUGAGGCGCUCCCUGCGCUCUUCAUCUGGGGACGGGCUGGCUCCAGGCCGGGCUUCUGGCAUGAUGUGCCCGGCCGUCGCGAGGGUGCCAGCCCCCAGCCCCCUGCCCGGAGGGGGAGUGCUGAUUCGUGGCCCCCGGCGCUUCCUCGGGGCAGGUGAUGGUGUGGAAGACGUGCUCGAGCGCUCCCGGGAGCGUCGCGCUCUUUGCCAAGGAUUCCUUCGAAGGGCGGCUGACGCGGUGAGCCUGCUUGGUGAGGAGCUUGCUGAUGAAGACGCGCGCCUUGAGGCUGAGGGCCUGCGCCUGGCUGCAGAGAGGCGUGAGCUGGAGGGCGCCAUCGCCCUUGCGCGCCGUUAGCGCAAUCUUGACGACGCAGAGGCCAAGACGUCGCUGGUGGCAUCUCGGGAGGCCUGAUCUCGGGCCGCUGAGGAGGCCCGGGAAGCCGACUGGUGGCGAGAGGUGGCGGAGGAGCGGGCUCGGGAGCUCCUGGCCUGGUGCUACUCACUUGAGGAGCAAGUGGAGCUGCACGAGGCAGCCCUCGCAUCAAUGAAGGUGGCCUCUGGCGACCCAGCAGAGCUCCAGAAGCGCGAGGAGGCGCUAACGCUAGAAGCUGCCGAACGUACCCGCGAGUACGAGCGCCUGGAGACGAGGGAGCGCUUGGUGACGUAGGCGGAGGAUGAUGUCGCUGCACGGGAAGCCUGCGUCCUGGAGAAGGUCAGAAGUCGGGUGGCGAUGGCGCGCUUGAGCCUCGAGCACGAGUUUGAGGAGAGGCUGGAGUUGAUCUGGGCUGAGGCUGAAGGUAGGACUGCUGCCUUGAGGGCCAAGCUGGAGGAAGCGACGCGGCGGGCCGAUGCUUUUCGGGCCGCCCUUGAGGUAGCGCAAGGGGAGUCAACCACCUCUCAGGCCGAGGUGCUCCUUCUUCACCAGCGGGUGGAGGAGGCCGAGGUCGUCGCGCGCCAGAAUGCGGACGAGAUACGUCAGCGGCGGAUCCUGGAGCAUGAGCACGACCCCAUGCUCACCAUGCUCCGGGAAAGAGCCAACUCAGCCUUGGGCAACCUCUGCGAGGUGGCUGUUGGCGAGCCGCACGCAGUCAACUACGCCGGCAACCUUCAGUUCUUCACCGACGUGGUGACGCAGCUGGAGGCGCGGUCGGUCAGGGCCGACAGGUUGGUGGAGGAGAGGAGCCCCGCCCUGCUCGGGCGCGCCUUUUCUCGCGUCUUCAGCUAUCUCCGAAACAUGUAUCCCCACUUCGACUUCGACGCCGCCAUCGCCCUAGUCCCCCAGGCCGUCCGAGACGACCUGGUGCACUGGGUGGAAGACAAUGUGGAUGCUCUUGUCAGGGCCUUCGCUUCAGACAACGACGGCGUGAUCAUGGCUGCUGACGAGGGCGGUGUGGUGAACGGCCCUGACGCCGCUGGCGGCGACGCAGACAGUGAUGGCGAGUUCAGCGGCGCCAGCAACGGUUCGGGUGGUGCUCCUGAGGACGCAUUGGGGGAUUUAUCCGACUGAUCAUGCAUCGUUCCUGUUCCCUUACCCUGCAUGAAUAGAACUCAGGUUUUGGCCUGAUGGCUAUGAGAGCAUUUUGGAGGGGGAGCCCCUCAUGUAAAACUUGUGUUCAUCGUAUUAGUAGACGGUACAUUGCCCAUGCGCCCGCGCCAAGUGGUUGGCUUAAGCGACGCGCUGGUCGGCUAGUUUACCUUUGUCCCGUGCGGGCCCUGAGGUAGCCUGUGGGAGGCUGUGGUGUCCCGAGUGCUCCCUGAUCGAAUCCGUAGGAUCUGCAGUAAAAAACCCUCCUGAGAGGACGCGGCGGCGGCAGUCUGGGCUGCCGCAAGCUAGGCCUGACCCGGCUCGCGAGGGGCUCACAAGGGGAGGCAGCUGAGGCGAAGUGGUAACCAAAACGCGAGAAAUUGCUCGAACGAGACUAAGCACCCCUUCCCCGAACACACGCAAAUCUCAAAUUCGAAUCCAACUUAGAUCCAGCGGGGGAAAGCGACAACCAAAGGGAAAAGCAACGAAAGCAGACAAAAGGCUGAGUCCGACACCUAAUCUAGUCUUGGACGUCUUCUCACCAGUGCGGAGCUAAGUGCUGCCACUGGGCGUGGGAGGGAGCCCCAGGGCCUGAGGCCGGCACCCCUGAGACUCCGGGGCAUGUACAACCCCACUCAUUAUUACGUGAGAGUGUCACGGGGCGGCGAACAUCACAGGCACUGGGCCUUCUUCACAGGAACCGGCCUUGCUUCAUAUCGCCAGACGAGGGGCCCGCCUUGCACCACACUCUAGUGCCAUCAACGACGACCGGAAACCAGGACGCCACCGAUGGGGUAGAGCGGUCGCCAGCGUUUCUCCCGACGACCACGGGUCCUCCGCCAGGGGCAGGCCCUGAGGAACCUCCCCAGUAGAGGGCCUACCUCCUGAGAACACCUUGCUCCGAACGCCGCGGUGGUGAUGUCGGAUCUCGGCCCCUCUCCUACAGCCCCCUGCGCCCUCCUCCUGAGGGGUAGGAGACUGUGGGAGUAGGGCUACUGCUCGCUGUGGGGACCUGCACCUCCUGCGAUCCAUGAUUAGCGUAUGCUUGCUCCUGAGGAAUUAGUGGUACCCGAUAAUCGUUGCCUCCAGCAUGGCCAGUGGGACCGUCCCGGGGCUCCUAGAAGGGCUCAGCUUCUGGCGCCUUGUCCCCCCAGCUUGGGCUGAGGAGCGAGCCUUGUUCGCCCUGGUGAGGGUGUCCUUGGUCCAUCAUGAGGGGCACAUAUUCUUCUGGCGCCGUCAUCCUGAAGGCCAUGCCGUAGUGCUCCACGUGCCCCGCAGCUCUGCUUGACGCGCCCACUGUGGGGUGGUAGUGUGGCUGUCCACUGGGGCCGUGGGUCGCGUCGAGUCCUUCUUCUUCAUGGACCUGGAGCGGGGGUAGCACUGCCGCCGGUCCGGUACCGAUAGUUUCGAUGGCGUUGGAGUAGCCUUGGAGCCUGCGGGCGCGCGCGGAGCCCCCGCGCGGGCCGCCCUAGGCUUGAGAUGGGAGCUGGGUGCAGAAGGGGUGAGCCCCCGAGGCGGCGAAGCCCAGGAGCUCUGCCACCCGCUCCAGCAGCACGUCACGGCCACCCUCCAGCAGCCUGCACUACAGCAGCUCUCGGGCCACCGUGAGCGCGGCCCUCGAGUUCGCCUGUUCCCGGCGGGUGUACGGUGUCGUGGUCGCGGGGUGAUUGGAGGCCCUUGCUGCCGACCGCGCUUGCCGCGAUGUGAGAGCUGUCGAAGCCUGUCCGCAUCGCCCGCGGCCCGCAGCGCCCUGCGGACCGCGAGCUGCCUGGGGCACGGGGUCGCCCGAGGCGAGCGGCUCUGCACGGGCGGGCCACGCCGCCCAUGGAUCUGGGUUGCCCGCCUGGUCGCUGGACAUGGUGAUGACGACGCGGCGGGGCACGAAGUGGUAGAAGGUGGAUUUCGGCGCACCCCUACCUGGCGUGCCAAAUGUCAGAUUUUAGGUUCCGACAGACCCUUGAGGUUCGAACACUGGGGUGCGCGCGGAGAUUUCGCCUUCUACCUACCUGCACCCCUCCGCCUUGCUAAGAUCUAAGCUAUGGAAAGAACAUCACAAGAGACACAGGGUUUAUACUGGUUCGGGCCACCGUUGUGGUGUAACACCCUACUUCAGUGUGUGGUGUGGUGGAUUGCCCCUUGGGCUGAUGAUGAUUAGCAAUACAAGGAAGAACAGCCUCGCGAGGGUCUGUUCUUGGUUGGGAGGAUGAACUGCUAGGGGGAGUUCAGUCACCCUUCUCUCUCUCUUCUCAAUUCUCUCUCUGAUUUCCGAUCCUCUCUCUGAUUUUCCCUCUCCCCUCACCCUAUGGGUGGCUAGUCCUAUUUAUAGGCAAAGGCCCUGGGCCUCUUCCCAAAUAUUGAGCGGGAAGGGCGCCAACAAUUGGCCAUUUUGAAGGGGAACAUCUGGUACACUUAUCCUGACUAAAGUUGGUCCUCGCCUGCCAAAGGCUCUGGUGGUGACGCUUGCUUGGGCUCCACAAUGAUUUCCUUCCUACCGUUGGACUGGUCUUGGUCUUGUUGCACCAAAAUGGGUGCCUUUGCUUGAUGCUCUCGCCUGCGCUUGCUCCCUUUGCACCAAAGAGGAAAGGAGGACACUGCGCGGGCUGGCGCCCGCCUGGCGCCCUUGGUCGUCAUGGCUUGCAUCACGGGCACCUCAUGAGGUACCCUGCCUUGAUCUCUCCGCCUCCUCGCAAGCCAGCCUGAUGUGGUCGUGCCUGAGGAAGCUCUGUGUCGUCCGCCCCGCGAGGCUUGGCCCCUCGCGAGGGUCUUGGGGUUGUGUCGAUGAAGACGGGCUGUGCUGGGGCCCCUUUGAGCCACGCAGCUGGCCGCAGGCAGGCAAGUCUGGGGACCCCCGUUCCCAGAACACUGACACACUCUCUCUCUCUCUCUCUCUCUGUCCCAUCAUAUUUCCCGUCCUUUAGUUAUGUAUGGAUGUCGACCUAUCUCCCUCAAGACAUAGCUAGGUCUCUCCUUCUCAACACAUAUGCGAGUCAUUCUACCUCUAUAGUUAGGCCUCUGCCUACCCCUCCCACCACCCCCUCCCCCCCCACACACACCGAUACAUCGAGCGCUCUAGUCAUGUCCCCCUGCCACACACAAACUUGACGUGUGCCCUCUAACGUUCCGGUAGGCUAGUCGCCCUAUAUCUUUGACUUGUACACACAAACAAUUUCGAUGGCACUCUUCAUCGAUCUCGCACCCACCCACUUGAUCCUCUCUUUGACUCUAUCGAUAGCUAUGACCCCUCCCUCUCUUCUCAUGGAUUGCCCGACCCUCUAUGUAUGAUAUGGAUAGGCCUCCAUUUCACACACAUUGCAUGCAAAAUUUUGUCUGAGAUGUCAUCGACACAUAUUCCCACAAAUAAUUCACGAAAUCAACCCCCACCCCACCCCCACCCCAAAACAAAAAACACUCACGAACGCGGUUUGUAUCUCUCACACACACCCCACGUAGGUGGGCGACGUGCACGAAGAGAAGAGGUGCAUGCACGGCGCACGUACUCCCGUCUCUUUCCCAACCACACCCGUGCGGGUACACGGUGGAGCUCAUUUCUGUAUGAAAAAUGCAGCCCACAUGGUAAUUUGGCACGUGUACUGGUUGUCCACUUGGUGGAGGGAGGAUCGUCUACCACGGGUGAACAAACAAAUUGCGACUUGACGUGUUAUGUUAAAAAAAGAGGCAAACCAUGUGGGGCCUACCUUAGAGGCAAGGCUCUAUACACUGGAGUACUUUUGAUGUGUCCCGUCAACUCACAGAACGAGGAGAAGCUUGCUUAGUAUGCCGUCUCUGUUGGGUUUCGUAGUAAUUUCAAAAAAAUUCCUACACACACGCAAGAUCAUGGUGAUGCAUAGCAACGAGAGGGGAGAGUGCUGUCUACGUACCCACGCAGACCGACUGCGGAAGCGUUGACACAACGUAGAGGAAGUAGUCGUACGCCUUCGCAAUCCAACCAAUCAAGCACCGAAACUACGGCACCUCCGAGUUCGAGCACACGUUCAGCUCGAUGACGAUCCCCGGACUCCGAUCCAGCAAAGUGUCGGGGAAGAGUUCCGUUAGCACGACGGCGUGGUGACGAUCUUGAUGCACUACAGCAGCAGGGCUUCGCCUAAACUCCACUACAGUAUUAUCGAGGAAUAUGGUGGCUGGGGGCACCGCACACGGCUAAGGAAUAGAUCACGUGGAUCAACUUGUGUUUUUCUGGGGUGCCUCUGCCUCAGUAUAUAAAGGAGCCAAGGGGGAGGGGGGCGCCGGCCAGGAGGAGGGCGCAUGAGGAGUCCUUCUCCUUCCGGGAGUAGGACUCCCCCCAAUCCUAGUUGGACUAGGAUUCCCCGAGGGGGAAAGAGAGAGAAGGGGGGCCGGCCACCUCUCCUAGUCCUAAUAGGACUAGGGGGAGGGGGGAGGCGCGCGGCCACCUUGGGCUGCCCGUUUCUCCUUUCCACUAAAGCCCAUCUAGGCCCAUAUGGUUCCCGGGGGGGUUCCGGUAACCUCCCGGUACUCCGGUAAAAUCCCGAUUUCACCCGGAACACUUCCGAUAUCCAAACAUAGGAUUCCAAUAUAUCAAUCUUUACGUAUCGACCAUUUUGAGACUCCUCGUCAUGUCUGUGAUCACAUCCGGGACUCUGAACAACCUUCGGUACAUCAAAAUGCACAAACUCAUAAUAUAACUGUCAUCGUAACCUUAAGCGUGCGGACCCUACGGGUUCGAGAACAAUGUAGACAUGACCGAGACACGUCUCCGGUCAAUAACCAAUAGCGGGACCUAGAUGCCCAUAGUGGCUCCUACAUAUUCUACGAAGAUCUUUAUCGGUCAGACCGCAUAACAACAUGCGUUGUUCCCUUUGUCAUCGGUAUGUUACUUGCCCGAGAUUCGAUCGUCAGUAUCCAAUACCUAGUUCAAUCUCGUUACUGGCAAGUCUCUUUACUCGUUCUGUAAUACAUCAUCUCGCAACUAACUCAUUAGUUGCAAUGCUUGCAAGGCUUAUGUGAUGUGCAUUACCGAGAGGGCCUAGAGAUACCUCUCCGACAAUCGGAGUGACAAAUCCUAAUCUCGAAAUACGCCAACCCAACAUAUACCUUUGGAGACACCUGUAAUGCUCCUUUGUAAUCACCCAGUUACGUUGUGACGUUUGGUAGCACCCAAAGUGUUCCUCCGGCAAACGGGAGUUGCAUAAUCUCAUAGUUAUAGGAACAUGUAUAAGUCAUGAAGAAAGCAAUAGCAACAUACUAAACGAUCGGGUGCUAAGCUAAUGGAAUGGGUCAUGUCAAUCAGAUCAUUCAACUAAUGAUGUGACCUCGUUAAUCAAAUAACAACUCAUUGUUCAUGGUUAGGAAACAUAACCAUCUUUGAUUAACGAGCUAGUCAAGUAGAGGCAUACUAGUGACACUUUGUUUGUCUAUGUAUUCACACAUGUAUUAUGUUUCCGGUUAAUACAAUUCUAGCAUGAAUAAUAAACAUUUAUCAAGAUUAUAAGGAAAUAAAUAAUAACUUUAUUAUUGCCUCUAGGGCAUAUUUCCUUCAGUCUCCCACUUGCACUAGAGUCAAUAAUCUAGAUUACACUGUAAUGAUUCUAACACCCAUGGAGCCUUGGUGCUGAUCAUGUUUUGCUCGUGGAAGAGGCUUAGUCAACGGGUCUGCAACAUUCAGAUCCGUAUGUAUCUUGCAAAUCUCUAUGUCUCCCACCUGGACUAGAUCCCGGAUGGAAUUGAAGCGUCUCUUGAUGUGCUUGGUUCUCUUGUGAAAUCUGGAUUCCUUUGCCAAGGCAAUUGCACCAGUAUUGUCACAAAAGAUUUUCAUUGGACCCGAUGCACUAGGUAUGACACCUAGAUCGGAUAUGAACUCCUUCAUCCAGACUCCUUCGUUCGCUGCUUCCGAAGCAGCUAUGUACUCCGCUUCACAUGUAGAUCCCGCUACGACGCUUUGUUUAGAACUGCACCAACUGACAGCUCCACCGUUUAAUGUAAAUACAUAUCCGGUUUGCGAUUUAGAAUCGUCCGGAUCAGUGUCAAAGCUUGCAUCAACGUAACCAUUUACGACGAGCUCUUUGUCACCUCCAUAUACGAGAAACAUAUCCUUAGUCCUUUUCAGGUAUUUCAGGAUGUUCUUGACCGCUGUCCAGCGAUCCACUCCUGGAUUACUUUGGUACCUCCCUGCUAGAUUUAUAGCAAGGCACACAACAGGUCUGGUACACAUCAUUGCAUACAUGAUAGAUCCUAUCGCUGAUGCAUAGGGAACAUCUUUCAUAUUCUCUCUAUCUUCUGCAGUGGUCGGGCAUUGAGUCUUACUCAAUUUCACACCUUGUAACACAGGCAAGAAUCCUUUCUUUGCUUGAUCCAUUUUGAACUUCUUCAAAAUUUUGUCAAGGUAUGUUGUUUGUGAAAGUCCAAUUAAGCGUCUUGAUCUAUCUCUAUAGAUCUUUAUGCCUAAUAUGUAAGCAGCUUCACCGAGGUCUUUCAUUGAAAAACUCUUAUUCAAGUAUCCCUUUAUGCUAUCCAGAAAUUCUAUAUCAUUUCCAAUCAGUAAUAUGUCAUCCACAUAUAAUAUCAGGAAUGCUACAGAGCUCCCACUCACUUUCUUGUAAAUACAGGCUUCUCCGAAAGUCUGUAUAAAACCAAAUGCUUUAAUCACACUAUCAAAGCGUUUAUUCCAACUCCGAGAGGCUUGCACCAGUCCAUAAAUGGAUCGCUGGAGCUUGCACACUUUGUUAGCUCCUUUUGGAUCGACAAAACCUUCUGGUUGCAUCAUAUACAACUCUUCUUCCAGAAAUCCAUUCAGGAAUGCAGUUUUGACAUCCAUUAGCCAAAUUUCAUAAUCAUAAAAUGCGGCAAUUGCUAACAUGAUUCAGACAGACUUAAGCAUCGCUACGGGUGAGAAGGUCUCAUCAUAGUCAACCCCUUGAACUUAUCGAAAACCUUUUGCGACAAGUCGAGCUUUGUAGACAGUAACAUUACCGUCAGCGUCAGUCUUCUUCUUGAAGAUCCAUUUAUUCUCAAUUGCUUGCCGAUCAUCGGGCAAGUCAACCAAAGUCCAUACUUUAUUCUCAUAUAUGGAUCCCAUCUCAGAUUUCAUGGCUUCAAGCCAUUUUGCGGAAUCUGGGCUCACCAUCGCUUCUUCAUAGUUCGCAGGUUUAUCAUGAUCUAGUAGCAUGACUUCCAGAACAGGAUUACCGUACCACUCUGGUGCGGAUCUUACUCUGGUUGAUCUACGAGGUUCAGCAGUAUCUUGAUCUGAAGUUUCAUGAUCAUUAUCAUUAGCUUCCUCACUAACUGGUGUAGGUGUCACUGAAACAGUUUUCUGUGAUGUACUAGUUUCCAAUAAGGGAGCAGGUACAGUUACCUCGUCAAGUUCUACUUUUCUCCCACUCACUUCUUUCGAGAGAAACUCCUUCUCUAGAAAGUUUUCGAAUUUAGCAACAAAAGUCUUGCCUUCGGAUCUGUGAUACAAGGUGUAUCCAAUAGUUUCCUUUGGAUAUCCUAUGAAGACACAUUUCUCUGAUUUGGGUUCGAGCUUAUCCGGUUGAAGCUUUUUCACAUAAGCAUCGCAGCCCCAAACUUUCAGAAACGACAACUUUGGUUUCUUGCCAAACCACAGUUCAUAAGGCAUCGUCUCAACGGAUUUUGAUGGUGCCCUAUUUAACGUGAAUGCGGCCGUCUCUAGAGCGUAUCCCCAAAACGAUAGCGGUAAAUCAGUAAGAGACAUCAUAGAUCGCACCAUAUCUAGUAAAGUACGAUUACGACGUUCAGACACACCAUUACGCUGUGGUGUUCCGGGUGGCGUGAGUUGCGAAACUAUUCCACAAUUUUUCAAAUGUACACCAAACUUGUAACUCAAAUAUUCUCCUCCACGAUCAGAUCGUAGAAACUUUAUUUUCUUGUUACGAUGAUUUUCAACUUCACUCUGAAAUUCCUUGAACCUUUCAAAUAUUUCAGACUUAUGUUUCAUUAAGUAGAUAUACCCAUAUCUGCUUAAAUCAUCUGUGAAGGUGAGAAAAUAACGAUAUCCGCCACGAGCCUCAAUAUUCAUCGGACCACAUACAUAUGUAUGUAUGAUUUCCAACAAAUCUGUUGCUCUCUCCAUAGUACCGGAGAACGGUGUUUUGGUCAUCUUGCCCAUAAGGCACGGUUCGCAAGUACCAAGUGAUUCAUAAUCAAGUGGUUCCAAAAGUCCAUCAGAAUGGGGUUUCUUCAUGCGCUUUACACCGAUAUGACCUAAAUGCCAGUGCCACAAAUAAGUUGCACUCUCAUUAUCAACUCUGCAUCUUUUGGCUUCAACAUUAUGAAUAUGUGUGUUACUACUAUCGAGAUUCAACAAGAAUAGACCACUCUUCAAGGGUGCAUGACCAUAAAAGAUAUUACUCAUAUAAAUAGAACAACCAUUAUUCUCUGAUUUAAAUGAAUAACCGUCUCGCAUCAAACAAGAUCUAGAUAUAAUGUUCAUGCUUAACGCUGGCACCAAAUAACAAUUAUUUAGGUCUAAUACUAAUCCUGAAGGUAGAUGUAGAGGUAGUGUGCCGACUGCAAUCACAUCGACUUUGGAACCAUUUCCCACGUGCAUCGUCACCUCGUCCUUAACCAAUCUUCGCUUGAUCCGUAGUCCCUGUUUCGAGUUGCAAAUAUUAGCAACAGAACCAGUAUCAAAUACCCAGGUGCUACUGCGAGCAUUAGUAAGGUACACAUCAAUAACAUGUAUAUCACAUAUACCUUUGUUCACCUUGCCAUCCUUCUUAUCCGCCAAAUACUUGGGGCAGUUCCGCUUCCAGUGACCAGUCUGCUUGCAAUAGAAACACUCAGUUUCAGGCUUAGGUCCAGGUUUGGGUUUCUUCUCUUGAGUAGCAACUUGCUUGCCGUUCUUUUUGAAGUUCCCCUUCUUCUUCCCUUUUCCCUUUUUCUUGAAACUAGUGGUCUUGUUGACCAUCAACACUUGAUGCUCUUUCUUGAUUUCUACCUCCGCAGCUUUCAGCAUUGCGAAGAGCUCGGGAAUAGUCUUGUUCAUCCCUUGCAUAUUAUAGUUCAUCACGAAGCUCUUGUAGCUUGGUGGCAGUGAUUGAAGAAUUCUGUCAAUGACGCAAUCAUCUGGAAGAUUAACUCCCAUUGAAUCAAGUGAUUAUUAUACCAGACAUUUUGAGUAUAUGCUCACUGACAGAACUGUUCUCCUCCAUCUUGCAGCUAUAGAACUUAUUGGAGACUUCAUAUCUCUCAAUUCGGGCAUUUGCUUGAAAUAUUAACUUCAACUCUUGGAACAUCUCAUAUGCUCCAUGACGUUCAAAACGUUGUUGAAGUCCCAAUUCUAAGCCGUAAAGCAUGGCACACUGAACUAUCGAGUAGUCAUCAGCUUUGCUCUGCCAGAUGUUCAUAACAUCCGGCGUUGCUCCUGCAGCAGACCUGGCACCCAGCGGUGCUUCCAGGACGUAAUUCUUCUAUGCAGCAAUGAGGAUAAUCCUCAAGCUACGGACCCACUCCAUGUAAUUGCUACCAUCAUCUUUCAACUUUGCUUUCUCAAGGAACACAUUAAAAUUCAACGGAACAACAACACGAGCCAUCUAUCUACAAUCAAACAUAAACAAGCAAGAUACUAAUCAGGUACUAAGUUUCAUGAUAAAUUUAAGUUCAGUUAAUCAAAUUAAUUAAAGAACUCCCACUUAGAUAGACAUCCCUCUAAUCCUCUAAGUGAUUACGUGAUCCAAAUCAACUAAACCAUAACCGAUCAUCACGUGAGAUGGAGUAGUUUUCAAUGGUGAACAUCGUUAUGUUGAUCAUAUCUACUAUAUGAUUCACGCUCGACCUUUCGGUCUCCGUGUUCCGAGGCCAUAUCUGUAUAUGGUUGGCUCGUCAAGUAUAACCUGAGUAUUCCGCGUGUGCAACUCUUUUGCACCCGUUGUAUUUGAACAUAGAACCUAUCACACCCGAUCAUCACGUGGUGUCUCAGCACGAAGAACUUUCGCAACGGUGCAUACUCAGGGAGAACACUUCUUGAUAAUUUAGUGAGAGAUCAUCUUAUAAUGCUACCGUCAAUCAAAGCAAGAUAAGAUGUAUAAAAGGAUAAACAUCACAUGCAAUCAAUAUAAGUGAUAUGAUAUGGCCAUCAUCAUCUUGUGCUUGUGAUCUCCAUCUCCGAAGCACCGUCGUGAUCACCAUCGUCACCGGCGUGACACCUUGAACUCCAUCGUAGCAUCGUUGUCGUCUCGCCAAGUUUAUGCUUCCACGACUAUCACUACUGCUUAGUAAUAAAGUAAAGCAUUACAUCGCGAUUUCAUUGCAUACAAUAAAACGACAACCAUAAGGCUCCUGCCAGUUGCCGAUAACUCGGUUACAAAACAUGAUCAUCUCAUACAAUAAAAUUCAGCAUCAUGUCUUGACCAUAUCACAUCACAACAUGCCCUGCAAAAACAAGUUAGACGUCCUCUACUUUGUUGUGGCAAGUUUUACGUGGCUGCUACGGGCUUUAAGCAAGAACCAAUCUCACCUACGCAUCAAAACCACAAUGAUAGUUUGUCAAAUAGACUCCGUUUUAACCUUCGCAAGGACCGGGCGUAGCCAUACUUGGUUCAACUAAAGUUGGAGAGGCAGUCGCCCGCAAGCCACCUGUGUGCAAAGCACGUCGGGGGAACCGGUCUCGCGUAAGCGUAUGCGUAAGGUUGGUCCGGGUCGUCUCGUCCAACAAUGCCGCCCAACCAAAGUAUGACAUGCUGGUAGGCAGUAUGACUUCUAUCACCCACAACUCACUUGUUUUCUACUCGUGCAUAUAACAUUAACAUAAAUAACCUAGGCUCGAAUGCCACUGUUGGGUUUCGUAGUAAUUUCAAAAAAUUUCCUACGCACACGCAAGAUCAUGGUGAUGCAUAGCAAUGAGAGGGGAGAGUGCUGUCUACGUACCCACGCAGACCGACUGCGGAAGGGUUGACACAACGUAGAGGAAGUAGUCAUACGUCUUCGCGAUCCAACCGAUCAAGCACCGAAACUACGGCACCUCCGAGUUCGAGCACACGUUCAGCUCGAUGACGAUCCCCGGACUCCGAUCCAGCAAAGUGUCGGGGAAGAGUUCCGUCAGCACGACGGCGUGGUGACGAUCUUGAUGCACUACAGCAGCAGGGCUUCGCCUAAACUCCGCUACAGUAUUAUCGAGGAAUAUGGUGGCUGGGGGCACCGCACACGGCUAAGGAAUAGAUCACGUGGAUCAACUUGUGUUUUUCUGGGGUGCCUCUGCCUCAGUAUAUAAAGGAGCCAAGGGGGAGGGGGCGCCGGCCAGGAGGAGGGCGCAGGAGGAGUCCCUCUCCUUCCGGGAGUAGGACUCCCCCCCAAUCCUAGUUGGACUAGGAUUCCCCGAGGGGGAAAGAGAGAGAAGGGGGGACGGCCACCUCUCCUAGUCCUAAUAGGACUAGGGGGAGGGGGAGGCGCGCGGCCACCUUGGGCUGCCCCUUUCUCCUUUCCACUAAAGCCCAUCUAGGCCCAUAUGGUUCCCGGGGGGGUUCCGGUAACCUCCCGGUACUCCGGUAAAAUCCCGAUUUCACCCGGAACACUUCCGAUAUCCAAACAUAGGCUUCCAAUAUAUCAAUCUUUACGUCUCGACCAUUUCGAGACUCCUCGUCAUGUCUGUGAUCACAUCUGGGACUCCGAACAACUUGCGGUACAUCAAAAUGCAUAAACUCAUAAUAUAACUGUCAUCAUAACCUUAAGCGUGCGGACCCUACGGGUUCGAGAACAAUGUAGACAUGACCGAGACACGUCUCCGAUCAAUAACCAAUAGCGGGACCUGGAUGCCCAUAUUGGCUCCUACAUAUUCUACGAAGAUCUUUAUCGGUCAGACCGCAUAACAACAUACGUUGUUCCCUUUGUCAUCGGUAUGUUACUUGCCCGAGAUUCGAUCGUCGGUAUCCAAUACCUAGUUCAAUCUCGUUAUCGGCAAGUCUCUUUACUCGUUCUGUAAUACAUCAUCUCGCACCUAACUCAUUAGUUGCAAUGCUUGCAAGGCUUAUGUGAUGUGCAUUACCGAGAGGGCCCAAAGAUACCUCUCCGACAAUCGGAGUGACAAAUCCUAAUCUCGAAAUACGCCAACCCAACAUCUACCUUUGGAGACACCUGUAAUGCUCCUUUAUAAUCACCCAGUUACGUUGUGACGUUUGGUCGCACCCAAAGUGUUCCUCCGGCAAACGGGAGUUGCAUAAUCUCAUAGUUGUAGGAACAUGUAUAAGUCAUGAAGAAAGCAAUAGCAACAUACUAAACGAUCGGGUGCUAAGCUAAUGGAGUGGGUCAUGUCAAUCAGAUCAUUCAACUAAUGAUGUGACCUCGUUAAUCAAAUAACAACUCAUUGUUCAUGGUUAGGAAACAUAACCAUCUUUGAUUAACGAGCUAGUCAAGUAGAGGCAUACUAGUGACACUUUGUUUGUCUAUGUAUUCACACAUGUAUUAUGUUUCCGGUUAAUACAAUUCUAGCAUGAAUAAUAAACAUUUAUCAUGAUUAUAAGGAAAUAAAUAAUAACUUUAUUAUUGCCUCUAGGGCAUAUUUCCUUCAGUCUCCCCCGCCCACGGGCGCGAUGGCUCGCAAGAUGAGGUGAAGCUUGCUUACCAUGCCUUACGCCCGCUCCCUCGCCCACGCGCACGGUGGCUCGCAGCCCGAGGAGAAAAUUUUACUACUCCCUCCGUUUACUCCUCAUCCCUACUACCUUGGUUACAGAGAUUAUACUAUCAUAUUGUUUGGAAUAUAUAUGUCCUUUAGUAGAUUUCAAUAUGAACUACUAGUACAUACUCCAAACACUGAUGUAUAUAGACGUAUUUUAGAGUGUAGAUUCACUCAUUUUGCUCCGUAUGUAGCACUCUCCCUCGCCCCUCGACCCUCGCCCACGUGGUGGACGUGCAACAAUUCAUUCGGUCUCAUAUAGCCAGAACGAUAUAUACUGCACUACCAUUAUUGCUCGACUUCCCGAAGAGGCAAACAGCCAAUCGCAAGGUUAAUAUCUUGGAGAUGCCAAGCGGAAGGUUAUAUGAGAAUGAGUAGUAGGUGCCGCGUCAUUUAAAUAACGUUUUUUUCUUCAGUGGCACGUACGCAAUAUGAUAGGUUCAUAUGGAGAGAAAAGGAAACCGCUCCACUAUAUACAUGUUCAGGACGGGCCAACCUACACUGUUGCUUGCUGGGGUUGCUCUCUUCACACUCUCUCGCACAAAACGACUGUGGCCACAUCUCUAACAUCCCGGCAGAUCACGUCCGCUUGGGGAAGGGGUGGGUGCUUAGUGUAGAUGCGGUGGCCAUCGCCGACAGCGAAAAACCACUGUCGGCACGUCCCGAUCAGGAGUCCCCACCGUUCUCUCUCACAAAGCCGGUGAGGUUGCCUUUGUCCCUUGCUCACUGCUGCGAUGUGGGCAGUUGCCGCCUUCCGCCGCCCUCCUCAAGGUUGAGCUACGUCCCUCAGGUACAACUCCCUUUACAGCCGGCUUGCACCACUGCUCCAGCUGCCCACAUCACUCCCUGUGGAUAUUUCUCUACUUCUUUGCCCCGCACAUACCUCUACUGGCUUCUACGUACUAUAUUUGUGAUGAGUUUAUGUCUCAUCAACUAGUCCCAGUAAUCUUAUUCUAAUCAUGCUUGUUCAAUUUCUUUGCCACAGGGAUGCUCGUCUCGAUUUUGGUGAAACUGCACAAAAUGAUCCGAUGGUCAAAAUGUUGCAAACUUCAUUUAUUAGGAAGCUCGAACGUUGCCAGCAAAUUGAAGCCUGGUCAGGGUUCACGGUUCAAGGGCUAGGGACUGCAUGGAUCGUUUUUUUCUUUAGCUGCCUUUGUUCCAAAAUAAGUGUCAACUUAAGUAGUAGUACAACUUUGUACCAAAGUUUGCACAAAGUUGAGAAACUUAUUUUGGAACGGAGGGAGUACAUAUUUGCUAUGAUCUGUCAAUCAUUGAGAUGUAAUAGCGUGCAUGUUAGUCUCCUUUGUAUUUGAUGAAAUGUUGCCACGGGCAACCUUGGACGCAAGAUACAGGUAACAGAAGCUGGAAGCUUCAUAGCAUUGUACAAAUUUAUCUUGCUGAUAAAUUACAGUAUGUACUAUACUAGUACUUCCUCCGUUCCUAAAUAUAAGUCUUUGUAGAUAUUUCACCAUGAACCACAUGUGGAUCACUGAGCCUGUGUGUUUUCACUGCUCUUGCACGCCUCCGCUGUAAGAAUGGAGAAAAUUGUAAUCUAGUAUGUAUACCUCCUUUUGCCGAAAGCGUGGGACAUCCAGCAGUCCUACGACCUCAGUAAUAAAGACCAAUGAGCCAUCAAAUCACAUAGACCCAGCAGUAAGUUGGAUGAACGAAGCAACCACCACUCUUGCGCCAGUGAGAGGUCGCGUCAGCUCUGCCCGGGCAUGAAUGCGACACCGAUUCUUUGGAGCGGCGCUGACCGUUUCGGGCGAGAAGCGCGCGCGGGCGAUGGAGGGGCUUUGGGUGGGCCAGGCUGGUCAGGAGCGACCGUGGCAGCUGUCCGCAUGUCCCUGCCGGACACGCCCGGAAACGAGAGGAUGCACUGACUCUCGCGGCUAAAAUUGUACACUACACAACAUCUCUAUAGGAGUAGGUUGAUCUGUCGCUCUCUCUAACACACACAUGGUGUUAAACACACACACACACACAUGCGCGCACAUGCACGCACCUUGGUCCCGUUGCACCUUCUAACGUGACUUAUUACACCUAGACGGAGGGAGUAGUAAGUAUACGAGAUACGGUGGCACACUGACUUAAGUCGAAUACAAAUGCCCAAAAUUUGUGUGCAUGUUAUAAUAAGGAUUCAGGAAUGUAUAAAAGGUUAUUUCCCUCUCGUUGAACAUAACGGGAGGGUUGUGUAGCUGGUUAGCCUGUUCGCUCAUCAAACUUGAGGUCUCGGGUUCGAUAACUACACUUGAGCAUAAUUUGUGCCAGGAGGAUUCUUUGACUGGUCAAAAUGUUUUCUAGGGUUUGCACGCAUCACACUCUCUCUCCAGUAUAUAUAUACACACUGGAGCCUCAGCGCUUGUAGUUGCUCUCUUCACACUAUCUCGCCCUCUCCCGCUGGAGCCUCAGCGCUUCUAGUUGCUCUCUUCACACUCUCUCGUCCUCUCCAGAUCUAAACAAGACUUUGUUGGCCUCUCUCUCCCCUCACUGCUGCUCAAAGAGAUGGCAGGAUCCGUCCGCCGGGAAGGGAAGGAGGCUUAACGAUGUCGCCGUCGGCGAGGGACUAUCGGCGCAGCUGUUCACUUUCCACCCAGCGGUGGCGCGGGAGGGCCUCCGACCCCUUCUUCUUCGCCGCCGUCCCGUCGCCCUCCGAACCACGCCCCAAGAACCUUAGGGUAUAAUUUACUUACUCCACAUGCAUUGCUCUAGCUGCAUGUAUACCAUGAAUCUAGGAUGCGGUUCAAAGAGGAAAGGAGUGGGAAAAGUUAUAUAUAGCAUGAAUCUCGGACAUGGUUCAAAGAGGAAAUGAAGGGGGAAAGUUGUAUAGCAUUAAUCUAGGACGUGGUUCAAAGAGGAAAGGAAUGGGGGAAAGUUGUGGAGAAAGUUAUAUCGCAUAAAUCUAGGACGUGGUUCAAAAAGGAAAGGAAGGGGUGAAAGUACUAGUUUAAAAAGUAAAGGAAGGGACAAGGCUGUAGAGUUUGAGCAGGACUAGAUUUGCUGCGCUCACAUAGGGAAAGGCGUCUGAUAACAAAACUGGGACCAACACGGACUGACACGGAGUUUUUUUAGUCCCUACACCAAAAAUGUCCCUGUAAACAAACACCCUCUAAUAAUGCCGCUGCAAAAUUGAUGCAAUGCCACAGUUAAAAGCAAAUUACAUGUUUAACAAAUUUUAUUGUUAAUAUAAUCUCUAUGUUAAUAUUAAUCAAUGCCACCGUUUGAGAAAUGCUACUUUCUUGCUUUAUUUCCCAUUUAGAUAAGGUAGAUGCUUCUUUUUGUUGGCUUCUGUGUCAUCCACCAUUAUUGACCACUUAUUGUUUCUUUUGCACCUCUGUGUAAACAGGGUUAUCUGCUUCACCUUGUUGCCAUUGUGACCUUUGUUGCACUGCACAAAACACUUUUGUUUUAAGAGUGUUUUGUGCAGUUCAACCAAAAUGUCACACCGACAACAUUGCUUGAUUGCUUGAUCUUAGUGGAACUGCACAAGAGGAGAUCUUACUUCCUAUCUGUUAGGGCGAAUUUGGUUCAGUUCUUCUUCUUGUGAGUUGUUUGAAUUCCGCAUCAUGAGAGGUUAGUACUAGCCUUCUUUCAUAUGAUUCUACAGUGUGCAUUCAUAUGUUGUGCUACUUGUACGAUAAUGUUGCUUGAUUUUAGUGAACUGCACAAAUGGAGACAAGACUUCCAAUCUGUAUGUGCAUCGUAAUAUCCCAUUGAGGUAAGAUAAGGAUAUUUCACAAUGUCUGGCCUGUAUUUUGCCACUUUCAUCAGAAAAUUAAGUUUAGUACUAUACUUUUGCUCCCUAAUUAACAUGCCAAAUCUUACAUUUAAGGCAAAGCUUGUUUGUUAUUGAACCAAGUGAUGAAGGGGAAGAACAAGGGGAAGAAAAACAAAAAUCAACUCCCGGUGUUGUAAUGAAGCACUAGAACUGUGAUGACACAAGUAAUGAUAUAGUUUUGCAUCUUAAUUUAUUGCUAUGGCUGGAACGAGCAAUUGUUUUGCCACUGAUUUGAUGCCACUCUUAAUGUAAUAUGUAAUUAUCUCUACUUGUGCAAACAGGGAUCUUCUUUGAAGAUACCAUAUAUUUUAGUGGAACUGCACAAGAAGAUGUUGGGAACAUUAAACUAAUCGAGGAGUAUAUAGUAAGCUUGGCCACCACCGUAGAUGCUUCAUUUGUAUGCUCUACACAAUAAGCCUCGUGACAAAGGUUGGUACUCGCCCACUGAUUUCAUCCAUAUGAUUGAGCUUUGUCAUCUUUAUUGGUGUUGUGCUACUGUUUAGAUACUGUCAUGAAAAAGUGGUAUUGUCCUUGAGAAGUGCUUCAUCUGUGAUGUUUUAAAUAUUUCCUUUCCUUUUUUUCGAGCAAACAGUGAUGCUAGCAUUUAGUAGUCCUCUUGUCGUUGCACAAUAGAAUCAUCUUCCUCUGAAGAAGAAUAUGGAGUACGUGAAGUGAGUAGUUCCGAUUAUGCUAGGAUGAAGAAGCCAUGUCUAUCUUAUCAUCAGAAGGAGUAGUUGAAGGAUGGUUACAUUACUCCCCACAAGACCAAACUAACUUCAGCUCAGAAGGACCGACAAAAUCUCCAUUUUUUGCUAUUGUUCUAGGAUUCUUUCUGGUGAGUUCCAUUUUUCUAAAAGUGUGCUCUACAUGGACCAUGUAUGUGCCUGUUGAAACUGUCAAUUCAUAGUACGGUUUGCUCUAUGCUAAUCACUUUUUUGUAUUUGUGCAAACAGGGGUGCUCAGCUUGAUUUCAAUGGGAACUGCACAAAAUGUUCAUGAAUACAUCGAAUCAUUCAUUUCCACCACAAGAAAGGAGGUGCCGAUAAGUUCAAGGCGUUGCAACAUAUAAGGGUGAAAUCAUACAAGCUACGCGCAAAUUUGGUUGAUUUUGGUGGAACUACACAAAAAGAACAGCUGGUUUAUUUAGCACGAGGUGACAUGUCAAUGUCCGAACUGAUGGCAAACCCUGUCCAUUCCACAAUCGCAGGCAUUUGAUAUUUUGGAAUGGGACAACCUUGUCAAAUUUUGCUCAUUGAUUUUAGCAAGACAUGCGUUUGAUAUUUUCGAAUGGGACGCCCUUUGCUGUCAGCAGCGUCGAUCAAUUUUUUCUUUAUUCUUUAGUUGUGAAGUAAAUAUUGCCUCUGACAUGUGAGUCGCUGAGAUGCAUAAUCAUGGAUUGUUUUGAAUGUUCUCUAUGGAUUGCCGGGCCUGUGUGUUUGAUUGCAAUGUACAGAAACGCUAAAGAGCUGCUCAAACUCUUUGUACUCCUUCUGUUCCUUUUUACUUUGCACAUUGUGUAAGUGCAUACUUUUUUGUAUAAGAUUGGUCAAAGUAGAGAUACUUUGACUGCAGACAAAACUUGUAUGCAGACUAGAAAGGACCGGAGGGAGUACAUGUGAAACUGCUGCAAACGAGGUGAUCACCCUAGGAAUAAUGCUAGUACGUAUUGUUUUGCAUGUUCAUCGAAUGCUAGUGAUACAGGAAUUCGAACUAAUCAAAAUAAAUUCAUUCAUACACGGUCGGAUUUCAUAUAAACAUGCCGGAUUUCAUUACAUUUAAACUAUAAAGGGGUGCGCUGGAUGUAUAAUUAAUUAAUCGGCCUAGCUUGUCAUAGCGAUUAGGGAAACUAGGAGCCCAAUGAUCAGGAUCACCACAUGACAAACACCUUUCUUCUUGUCAUUCUUCUUCUUGAAGUUCGUGUGUUGCACAGCCUUGUUCUUCCCAUCAAACUUUUCUUUACCAUCAAACUUGCCCUUGUUCUUGAACUUGUGGGGCUGGAAGUUCUUCUGUACCAUAUUGGCACUAGAUCCUCCCCCAAUUCCUCAAGCAUGUGUGUCCUUUGCUCUCGCCUUUUCUUCCACAUCAAGAGUGCCAAUGAGAUCCACGAAGGAGGAAGCUUGGUGACGAUGGAGGUAUAAUUAAUUAACCAAAGCUACCCACCUGUGUCCCGCUGAGCCGAACAGAAGCUUCAGUGACUUAACUGCAGGUGCAGUUGCGUAACUGACAUGUGGCCUGUUGGGCCCAUGUGUCAGUCAGCCAACUGCACCAGCAGUUAAGUAGAAGUAGCGUUAUUCCCCAACAGAACUCCCCGACUCCACGUCACCGCCAAGAAGCUAACCGGCCAUCAAUGGUCAACCCACCUAGCUUGGCUUCAACAGGAGGGUAGCAGCGGUGGCCUUACUUGGACCCGAGAAGCGGCGACCUACCGUGUUCUACUCUUCCUCAUUUUCUGUGUGGCGUGGCCUCGGUUGGCAGCGGGGCGGGGCCUCGGCGGAGCCGGCGAUGUCCUCUGUCUCGUUGCCGGCGGGCGGCGCCUCAGCGGAGUGGUGGAAAUCCUCCCCCGCGUUGCCGGCAGGGUGGGGCCUCGGCUAAGCCGGCGAUGUCCUCUGCCUCGUUGUUGGCGGGGCGGGGCCUCGGCAGAGCCGGCGGUGUCCUCUGCCUUGUUGUUGGUGUCGUGGGGCCUCGGCGGAGUAUGGCCUCAUCGACGCCAGCGGAGCGGGGACUCGUCGGAGCCGGCAUUGUCCUCUGCCUCGUCCUCGGUCUCGCCAAACAGCGCCUCGCCCGCUUCAUCGCCCUCUUUGCUAGCCUUUUUGUAGGCGGCCGCAGCCUCCGCCACCCGCAUGCGGUACCGCCAGCGCUCGAGGCGGCCCUUGCGGGGGAGCGGUACGAGUCGAGCAGCGCCUCCUGCUCCGCCCGCUCCACGGCGAUCUGCUCCUCCGCGUGCAGGUGCUCCUAGAGGAGAUGGUGGUUGUAGGCGGCGUCAGCCUGUGCCUUCCGGAACUGCUCCUGACGCAUCUGCCUCACACUGUCCAUAUAUUGGGCACGGGCCUCGCCGAUGGUCAUGGUGCAAUGCACCGGCGAGGAUGGCACGAAGGAGGGGGUUGGUGCUGGAUCGUCGACUACCAUGUUCUCCAUUGGGACAUCGUCGUCCCCCGGCUGCCUGCCGGCCAGCCGGUCGUCAGCAAUGGCUGCAAUCUCCUUGUGGUCCGUCGUCCGCCCGUCCCGAAGAGCGCUGGAGCGCGAGGAAGACAUGAUGGGCAGUAGUGGUGUGGACAGGAGAAAGGGAACGGAUGCGGAUGACUGUGGCUAUGGCCGGCGCAGCAGUUUAUAUAGCAAUGGUGGGUGGGCGGAGGGACGGACGUGUGGCGCCGGAGUAGCCGCCUCGGCAACCGCGUAUCAUUAAUGUGGGCGGCAGAUGGACGGACGGACAGCACUUGUGUCGUUUGAAGGCGGAGCAAUCGCCUGCACCGGGAAGCGGGGCGGGCGGCGCUCACUGUUUCGGAAGGAAAGCGCGCGCGGGCGAGGAGAUGACUUUACUUGGAGAGGAUGACAAUGAGGACCCACUAGGUCCAUAGCCUCACGUACGCAAGUACCUCCUUAUUAUAUAUAUAUAUAUAUAUAUAUAUAUAUAUAUAUAUAGGACAGCACUAUUCUAAUCACAGGAUUAGAAUAACUAUUUGGAUCACAGUCGCUGUAUAUAUAGGACACGAGCAAGAUUUUCCCGAGAUCCAAAAGCUAUCAGACAGCGAUCUUCCCUGAUCCCCCUCCACCUUCUCCGACUCGUUGCCCCACCAUUCUCCCGCAACCCCCGCGCCCCCAACCGGAAUCCCGCUGGUGCCCAGCUAGUCUCCCUGGCGCGCCGGCGCCGCCCUGGACCUCGCCGGCACCCCGCGUGCCUCCUUCGCAGCCACCAUCCAGUGAGUAGCCGCCACAACUACCGCCCCUGAGAGUGCCGGCACGCACAAAUCCAGCCGGACCCGACCGGAGUGGGCCAGGGGUGCCCUUCGCGGGCGCUGUGUCAGCGCCGUUGACUGCCAUGCCACUGCCGCCCCCAAUUCCCCACCACACAUUGCCACGCGCGGCUCCCCUCUGCCUCUUGUGCGUCAUCACGAGCCAGCCCCGCACCGACGACUAGGCAUGACUCGGACCACGGUGUUCUGCUGCUAGCUCUAGAAGCGCCCUCAGGCACUGAUUCUGUUCUUCCACACGACCGAUGCUGGUCACCUGCCCCAAACGCCGUCGAGCCAGCAUCUCCUCCAAAAAAUCUUAUGGCGGAGGGCCCCUGCUCCUCAAUGCCAUGGCCGCCCUAUCUGCUCGGCCCCCUGGCAAUCCUUGCCGCCACCCCGCCACAGACGUCCACCCUAUGGAGCUCCCUCCUCCACUGGUGUCCGGCUGCCUCCCUGUCCCUUGCCACAUCUACGAAUGGACCUCUACGAGGGGAGAGUUCAUCAUCUCAGGGCACCACAUCAACACUCCAAGUUCGCAUUCUUUCUCGAUCUCUGUUUUCUUUUGUUCCCUACUAUUGUAUUGUAACCAGAUCAAGCAUCGAUUCCUUCCCCCGUCUAGUUCUGUGUUUCUAAUUAUUAUUCAUGUGUGAAGUUCAACUAUAUCUACAGGCGCAGCCGACCCUGACGUGCUCUUGCAUAUUGAUACUGUUGCUGCUGUCAAAAUUUCUCUUAACUGAACUUAACUCUUUUUACUGAUUGAAUUGUGCAGGAGAUGUGUGGAGCGAGCACUGUGACAACGCAGUAAAGGAAAAUAAUGCGUGCUUGUAUGUCUGCGUCUUCAACGAGAUUUGUUGUAAAAGUUUAUUUUUUUCCUUGUGCGUUAAUUGAGCUAACUUUUAAGGCGUUUAGAGGCUUCGUGAAAUUCUACAAAAAGCUAUACGCUGGCAGGUGUGAAGUUCUACCACGGCUAUAUGCUGGAAGCUGUGAAGUCCUAGCAGGGCUCUUGUAGCGACCCGACCCGAAUGGAUCAAGUCUACUGUGCUCCGGUGUCAUCCCUGGAUCAGUAAUGCUGACACCACACAGUACAUCGAAGGACUUAUAGCAGAGUGGCAAUCACACACUUAUUACAUCGUUGUCUCAAAGAGAACUUAUUACAAUAAAUAUGGCUUAAGGCCAUCUAAUAACGAUAACAGCGGAAGACUCGGAAGAUAAAUGGGUCCAUUAACUCCAACGGCAUCACUGAGUAUAGAACCACGACCCAAAAACACCUUACAAGUGGUCUGAAAAGUCUGCAACAUGAGAAGUUGCAGCCCGAAAACGGGUCAUCACAUGGAAUAUGCUGGCAAUGUAACACAUGGAGAGUAAUGGAAUGAAACAACUAUACUACAUGCAUAUAUGGCUGGUGGAAAGCUCUAUGGUUACAGUUUUGCAUAAAGCCAGUUUUUCCCUACUACAAAGGAAUAAAUUUAUUUAACUAUCAUGGUAGUUGUUAAACAUCGAGAAUGGUUGACAGCAUUCCGAUCCCAAUUAAGUGAACAAUUAAAAACCCAACAACAUUAAUUAGAAUUAACGUGAUGAGAUUCACAUGAUAUUCAAGUACUAGAUACUCAAGUUGUCCAUAACCGGGGACACGGCUAAUCAUGAUUAAUUUGUACACUCUGUAGAGGUUUGCGCACUUUUCCCCACAAGACUCGAUCGCCUCCGUUGGCUUUCUCGCACUACAAGGUGUUUGAGAAACGGAUGACCGAGACAUAGUCUUUCAGAAGCACUAGCACCUUACGAUCAGGUAGACCGUACCUCCUACAUCCCCUACAUCUGCUAGUCUACCACUGUAAGAGUUCGCACGACUUAGUCAACUAUGCCAGAGCCCAUAAUGGCUUGUGGCUGCACACGGAAGUUACUAGCAUGAAUGAUCUUAUGAUCCCUUUGAGCCUGGGUGGCGGUCCAAAAUAAAACAGGCAAGUCCUGAUAGACAUCAGGUGCCUCAAUCCACCCAGAUGUGUGUUUAAGUUGCCACCUUAGAUAAACCAUUAAAAUUAUCAACUCACAUCUGUCAUGGAUAUCACUCACCCAAUCCACGUCUACUAGCAUAGCAUGGCAUAUUAAGCAAACGUAGAAGUAACUCCCAAAGGUUUCAUAAUAAUACAGGUGAUAGGUACUACCUCAUCUACAUCCCAUCCCACAAUUUAAUUAGAUCCUAAUCAUGCAAUGUGAGAGGAUUGAUCUAAUGCAAUAAAACUGGGUUAUAGAAAAGGUAUGAUCAAAGUGUUACUUGCCUUGCUGAUGAUCCGCGAGUCCUAGGGUUUCGAAGUAACAAGCGGCGCAAUCCGGGUGAUCUAUCAUAGUCAAACAACAAGCACACAAUAAGUACUCAUCUAAUGCACAGGUAAAACUCGAACAAGGGAACGAACCAGAAAGUUCAACUUAAGAACUCCGGUUGCAAAGAAAGAAAGAACCGAACAGACGACGGAAAAACAAACGGCGGAAGAAAACAACUCGAUUCUAGCAAGUUGAAACUAGGUCAAAUUUUACUGUAGCAAAGGCUUGUUCAAGUUGAUUAGACAGAACGGCGGUUUCUAGACGAAACUCCAGGCGCUUGAAUCACCUGAUUCCGAUAAACGAGCGGGAAGAAAGACUAGAACGAAGAUCGGAUCUGAGAUCACGAUCGCGGAAUAAAUCCGACGAAAAGAAAGAGAUGAACGGUUAAACGAACGGGCGUCGUUGACCGGGAAAAAUCGGUGAUCACGUUCGUUGAGACGAACGGUCCGAAAGAAGAAUGAAAACCGAUCUAGGGUUUUCGGAAAAAAACCGAAACAAAAACCCGGAAAAGAAACCGGAAAAGAAAACUGGAACGGCUUCUUUAAAAAAAAAGAACCGAACCGAGGCAAGGGUGGCGCGGCUACCUCUGGCGAGGCUCCGACGAGGGGCUCCGGCGGCAGNNNNNNNNNNNNNNNNNNNNNNNNNNNNNNNNNNNNNNNNNNNNNNNNNNNNNNNNNNNNNNNNNNNNNNNNNNNNNNNNNNNNNNNNNNNNNNNNNNNNNNNNNNNNNNNNNNNNNNNNNNNNNNNNNNNNNNNNNNNNNNNNNAGAGGUAUUUAUAGGAGGGAGGGGAGAGGGAAACUUGGGGGAGGGGGCAAGAAAAGAGGAGGCGGCGGCUUGGAGUCCAAGCCGGACUCGGCUUGCGGCGGGGCUGGCGACUGGCGCGAGGGGGCGGCUGGGCCUAGCGGGAUAUUUUUUUAAAUCGGUUACGCGCGCAGAAAAACAAAAGAAAGAAAAUCUAAACGAACUCCGAAAUUCCUAAAGUAAAUUUUCUCCGACUCCUAAAAAUGAGCCGAACAAAAAGAACUUUACUCCGGACCUAGAAUGCAAUUUUUGAAAACGCGCAUUUUUCCCUAUCCAAAUAAAAAGCGAACAAAACUCCGGCAAAACCAAAAUUUGAUUUAUUCAUCAGAUCUUCAUUUUUCCUAACUUUGGGAAAGUCAUAUUAUUCCCUCUCUCAUUUUUUUUGAUAUUGGAAAAAUAAUUGAAGAUGAAAUAAAUAAAUCAAAUGAUCCUCUUUUCCAAAAUUUGAGAGAACUCAAAUAUGAAAAUAACGAAAUCUCCAACUCUCUCCGUGGGUCCUUGAGUUGCGUGAAAUUUCUAGGAUCAACCAAAAUGCAUGAAAAUAUGAUAUGCAUGAUGAUCUAGUGUAUAACAUUCCAAAUUGCAAAUUUGGGAUGUUACAAACCUACCCCCCUUAAGAUGAAUCUCGCCCUCGAGAUUCGGGUUGGCUAGAAAAUAGGUGAGGGUGGUCCUUGAGCAAAUCUUCUUCUCUUUCCCAGGUGGCUUCAUCCUCUGAGUGGUGGUUCCACUGAACUUUGCAAAACUUGAUAACCUUGCUGCGGGUAACUCUGCUGGCAUAAUCGAGAAUCUUGACUGGCUUCUCCUCAUACGUUAAGUCAUCCUUCAACUGAAUCGCUUCGAGUGGCACGGUAUCUCUUAGCGGUACCUCCGCCAUCUCGGCAUGACAUUUCUUCAGCUAAGAAACAUGGAAUACAUCAUGAACUCCUGAUAGUCCCUCUGGUAAUUCCAACUUAUAAGCGACUUCUCCCAUAUGUUGCAAGAUCUUAUACGGUCCAACGAAAUGCGGUGCUAAUUUUCCCUUAACUCCAAAGCACUUAACUCCUCGAAGUGGGGAUACUCGAAGGUAAACUCUGUCUCCAGUUUCGUAGACUGUCUCCUUGCGUUUAGAAUCUGCGUAGCUCUUCUGCCUGGACUGGGCUACCUUGAGCCUAUCGCGAAUCAACUUAACUUUCCGUUCAGACUCCUUAAUCAAAUCUGGUCCAAAGAAUUGACAGUCUCCAACUUCGUCCCAUGACAACGGUCUCCUACACCUCCUUCCGUAUAAAGCUUCGAAAGGUGCCAUCUUCAAACUGGUUUGGUAACUGUUGUUAUAAGAAAACUCCGCAUACGGCAAGUUAUCGUCCCAACUAGAUCCAUAAUCUAGUGCACAAGCUCUCAGCAUAUCUUCCAAAAUCUGAUUGACUCUCUCGGUCUGUCCAUCUGUCUGUGGGUGAAAAGCUGUGCUAAACUCCAGUCUGGUUCCUAAGGUUUCAUGCAACUGAUUCCAAAACUUUGAGGUAAAUUGGGUUCCUCUAUCUGAUACGAUACUCCUCGGAACUCCAUGCAAACAAAUGAUCCUAGUCAUGUAUAUCUUUGCCAACUUAGCACUGGUGUAAGUGGUCUUAACUGGAAUAAAAUGUGCUACCUUCGUCAAACGAUCAACUACUACCCAUAUCGAGUCAUAGCCUGAUUUUGUCCUGGGUAGUCCUGUGAUAAAAUCCAUGCCUAUCUUAUCCCACUUCCACUCGGGUAUCGGCAAUGGUUGUAACAAUCCUGCUGGCUUCUGAUGCUCUGCCUUUACUCUCUGGCAUACGUCACAAACUGCUACAUAUGCUGCAAUAUCCUUCUUCAUUCCGGUCCACCAGCAUGUUUUCUUCAAAUCCAAAUACAUCUUGGUAUUCCCUGGGUGAAUCGAAUACGGUGAAUCAUGUGCCUCUUGCAAAAUCAACUUCCUGAUCUCCGGGUCAUUUGGCACAUAAACACGGUCCUCAAACCAUAGGGUAUCGUGCUCGUCCUCACGAAAUCCUUUAGCUUUUCCUUUUCUCAGUUUCUCCUUUAUAGAAGCAAUCUCCUUGUCAGAUUUCUGAGCCUCUCUGAUUUUAUCCGUCAAUGUUGACUGAAUCUCCAAUGUUGCCACAUACCCUCUCGGAACUAUUUCCAAACAUAGCUCACGAAGGUUUUCUGCUAACUCCUUUGGUACUUCUCCCGUCACUAGGGUGUUGACAUGGCUCUUACGGCUCAAUGCGUCAGCUACUACAUUAGCUUUUCCGGGAUGGUAAUGCAAUCUCAUGUCAUAAUCCUUGAUGAGCUCCAACCAUCUCCUUUGUCAGAGGUUCAACUCCUUCUGAGUGAAAAUGUACUUCAAACUCUUGUGAUCCGUGUACACCUCACAAUGAUUUCCAAUGAGGAAAUGUCUCCAUGUCUUCAAUGCAUGCACUACGGCUGCUAACUCCAAAUCAUGUGUGGCAUAAUUCAACUCAUGAGGCUUCAGUUGCCGUGAAGCAUACGAAACAACUCUCCCUUCCUGCAUAAGCGCUGCUCCAAGUCCUCGACGUGAAGCGUCGCAAUACACCUCAUAAUCCUUGGUCUGAUCUGGCAAAAUCAAUACUGGUGAGGUAACCAAGCGUUUCUUCAAUUCCUGGAAACUAGCCUCACAUUCCUCAGUCCAAUUGAACUUAGUAUCCUUUUUCAACAAUUCAGUCAUAGGCUUUGCAAUCUUUGAAAAGUUCUCAAUGAACCUCCGGUAGUAUCAUGCGAGUCCAAGAAAACUCCGGAUCUCUCCAACUAUCGUUGGUGAUUCCCAUUCGGUUACGGUCUCAACCUUAGUGGGGUCAACUGCUAUACCUUCUCCGGAUAUAACGUGUCCGAGGAAUCCAACUUCCUUCAACCAAAACUCACAUUUGCUGAAUUUGGCGUAUAACUGAUGUUCCCUUAGUUUCUCCAAAACCAAACGCAAAUGUUCCUUAUGCUACUCUUCAUUCCUUGAAUAAAACAGAAUGUCAUCAAUGAACACUACGACGAACUUAUCCAAAAACUCCAUAAACACUUUGUUCAUCAGGUUCAUAAAAUAGGCAGGUGCGUUAGUCAAUCCAAAUGACAUAACGGUAUACUCAUACAGUCCAUAUCUUGUGGUGAAUGCUGUCUUAGGUAUGUCCUGCUCCCGAAUCUUCAAUUGAUGGUACCCUGAUCACAAAUCGAUCUUGGAAAACACUUUAGCUCCUUGCAACCGAUCAAACAGAUCGUUGAUCAUUGGCAGUGGGUACUUGUUCUUGAUGGUUACUUCAUUCAAUCCCUGAUAAUCUACAACCAUCCUUAAUGAUCCAUCCUUCUUUUCCACUAGAAGUACGGGUGAUCCCCAAGGCGAAGAACUUGGGCGAAUGUAACCUUUAUCCAAUAACUCCUUAAUCUGAUUCUUAAUUUCCACCAAAUCCUUUGCUGGCAUCCGGUACGGUCGCUUCGAUAUUGGGCCUGUACCUGGCAAUAACUCAAUCAAAAACUCAAUGUCUCUAUCCGGUGGCAUGCCCGGCAAUUCCUCAGGAAAUACAUCAGGAAAAUCCUUCACCACUGGUACUUCCUCUUGCACAACUCAUGUUAGGCAGUUUACUUGUGUCCUGUUUGGCACAUGCCGGGAUACAUACUUGAUCCUUCUUCCUUCUGGUGUGGUAAGCAAAAUUGACUUACUAGCACACUCAAUAUUCCCUUCAUACUUUGAUAACCAAUCCAUGCCUAAUAUCACAUCCAAUCCUUUAGAUUCCAAUACUAUUAGGUCUAAGGGAAAAACAUAGUUUCCAAUCCUUAAUGGUAACCGAUCACACCAUCGUCUAGCCAUAAACUCUGCUCCUGGUGAGCUUACUAACAUGGGUGUCCUAAGGGCUUGGGUUGGCAGGUUAUAUUUAUCCACAAAUCCCCUUGAUAUGUAUGAAUGCGACGCACCAGUGUCAAAAAGAACAAGUGCAGUAAAUGACUUAACCAGAAACUUACCGAUUACUGCAUCAGGCUGAUCUUCAACCUCCUCCACACUAACGUGGUUCACCUAUCCCCUGUUGAAAGGGUUCGGCUUCUUCCCAGAGCUUCCAUUGCCAUUUCCAUUCUGGCCUUCAGGGCAUUCAUUGGCAUAAUGUCCGGUCUUGGAACACUUGAAACAAGUGACUUGACUCAGAUCUCUCUUGGUUGGGGUCGAUGGGGUGGUACAGUUCUGGCCAUUGCUUCCUCCAUUCCCAUUACCAUUGUUGUGGCCAUUAUGGUUGUGCGAGCUACCUCCUCCAUGGGUGUGCUGAAACUAAAAUCCCGGUUUAGGGGCGAAACGGGGCUUCUGCUGGGCUCUAGAGUUAUACUUCCCCUGUCCGUAUUUCCUCUUGCGGUUCUCAAUCUGCUGUUGCUUCCCUUCAAUCAUGAUGGCACGAUCUACCAACUCCUGGUAGUUGUUGAAACUCGCUACCAUCAACUGCAUGCUUAGUUCAUCAUUCAGUCCUUCCAGAAACUUCUCCUGCUUAGCUGCAUCCGUAGCAACGUCAUCUGGGGCAUAACGUGCUAACUUGCUGAAAUCGUCAGCGUACUGGCCAACUGUCCUUCCUCCUUGGCGUAAGUUGCGAAACUCACGCUUCUUCAUGGCCAGAGCUCCUGCUGAAACAUGGGCAGUGUGGAAAGCUUGCUGAAACUGAUCCCAUGUGACAGUGUCAACUGGGUAAGUGGCUGUGAAAUUCUCCCACCAUGCUGCCGCGGGUCCGUCAAGCUGGUGAGCGGCAAACUUCACUUUCUCACCAUCCGUGCAUCCAGCAGUGGUCAACUCCCUUCCUAUCUUGCGGAGCCAAUCGUCUGCUACUAUCGGCUCAGUGCUACUGGAAAACACCAGCGGAUUCAGCCUAAGGAAACGGGCUAAGUGGUCAACAGGUGGUGGUGGUGGGUUGUUGUUGUUGUUCUGCUGGUUCUGGACUAACAUCUGCAUCAAUUGAUUCUGCUGCUGGAUUAACUGAGUGAGCUCCGGUGGGAAUCCAUUGUCAUGUCUUGGAGGCAUCUGAGGGUUUAGAAAAGACGAGAAUUAAGAAUAGAGUGAGGUCUAAAGGGAAAACACUACCCCAAUGCACAUGAGCAAAUGCACACAAAAUCACUUCAUUCAAUCAAACAAGGGCUUACAAACGGUCUAACUAUCGCAAAAGUGCUCGAACUAUUGUGUUUACAUGGGGGAAUACUACUACUAUUUGGUGGUCAUCUAGAAAUUUGAACCGGUGGAAGACUCCAUGAUAUCUGCUCCAGCUUCGUCUUCAAAGUCGGGUUCACUUGGAUCCGAAUCGGUGUCGUCGAUGAUGAUGUAGUUGUCCGGACAUGCGACAUACUCGUCUUCCUCCUUGGAUGCUAACUUCCUCUUGAGUUCUUCAAUCUCCUGCUUAAGAUCGCCAUUGUGUCUUGCUAGAGCUACGAUCUCGUCCAUGUAGUCCUUGCGUGUAGACUUCAGUUCUCCUUCUAGCUCGAUGAUCCUUGCCUUCGCAUUCUUCAACUCUAUCAUAUCAUUGCACAUCUGGUUCUCGUGGCGUUGAAUGUGCUGGUUUAACUCCUGGAUGAAAGAUGCAAUGGAUCUAUCCUUCUUGGUGCUGACUAACUCCCAUUGUUCAUCCCGGCGUCCGCAAAUCUGAUAGAUAGUGUCCUUGAGGUCUUCUUGAUAAACUUCUCCAAUGCGUCCCAUGGUCAUAUGAGCUGCCAUGCUCCUUCCCAGACUCCAGGUUGGUGCAUUGAAAACACUAUCUAUAGGCUUCGUGAUUGGCGCGAAUGUCCUUCCCAGAAUGUGAGCUUGAAUCUUCCAGCGCUCCUCUUCAGGCAGAGUGGCGUUGAAGGUUCCCGUGAAGCUUGGUAAUCCAAUGUUCAGGUACUUGGUGACUUCCUUCAGGUGAAAUCCAAAUGGUGUGCCUUCAUCCGGUUGAGCAUACUUAAUCUUCACGUUCGUCAUCCUAAUAGAGUAGAAAAGAUGAGCAGUUAGAAAAUGAGAAGAGAAUGGUGAUCUAUGGCUUUAACUUAGUGGUCGUGUCCUACAGUCAGCGUGUGCUCUGAUACCAUCUUUGUAGCGACCCGACCCGAAUGGAUCAAGUCUACUGUGCUCCGGUGUCAUCCCUAGAUCAGUAAUGCUGACACCACACAGUACAUCGAAGGAUUUAUAGCAGAGUGGCAAUCACACACUUAUUACAUCGUUAUCUCAAAGAGAACUUAUUACAAUAAAUAUGGCUUAAGGCCAUCUAAUAACGAUAACAGCGGAAGACUCGGAAGAUAAAUGGGUCCAUUAACUCCAACGGCAUCACUGAGUAUAGAACCACGACCCAAAAACACCUUACUCGUCGUCUGAAAAGUCUGCAACAUGAGAAGUUGCAGCCCGAAAACGGGUCAUCACAUGGAAUAUGCUGGCAAUGUAACACAUAGAGGGUAAUGGAAUGAAACAGCUAUACUACAUGCAUAUAUGGCUGGUGGAAAGCUCUAUGGUUACAGUUUUGCGUAAAGCCAAUUUUUCCCUACUACAAAGGAAUAAAUUUAUUUAACUAUCAUGGUAGUUGUUAAACAUCGAGAAUGGUUGACAGCAUUCCGAUCCCAAUUAAGUGAACAAUUAAAAACCCAACAACAUUAAUUGGAAGUAACGUGAUGAGAUUCACAUGAUAUUCAAGUACUAGAUACUCAAGUUGUCCAUAACCGGGGACACGGCUAAUCAUGAUUAGUUUGUACACUCUGCAGAGGUUUGCGCACUUUUCCCCACAAGACUCGAUCGCCUCCGUUGGCUUUCUCGCACUACAAGGUGUUUGAGAAACGGAUGACCGAGACAUAGUCUUUCAGAAGCACUAGCACCUUACGAUCAGGUAGACCGUACCUCCUACAUCCCCUACAUCUGCUAGUCUACCACUGUAAGAGUUCGCACGACUUAGUCAACUAUGCCAGAGCCCAUAAUGGCUUGUGGCUGCACACGGAAGUUACUAGCAUGAAUGAUCUUAUGAUCCCUUUGAGCCUGGGUGGCGGUCCAAAAUAAAACAGGCAAGUCCUGAUAGACAUCAGGUGCCUCAAUCCACCCAGAUGUGUGUUUAAGUUGCCACCUUAGAUAAACCAUUAAAAUUAUCAACUCACAUCUGUCAUGGAUAUCACUCACCCAAUCCACGUCUACUAGCAUAGCAUGGCAUAUUAAGCAAACGUAGAAGUAACUCCCAAAGGUUUCAUAAUAAUACAGGUGAUAGGUACUACCUCAUCUACAUCCCAUCCCACAAUUUAAUUAGAUCCUAAUCAUGCAAUGUGAGAGGAUUGAUCUAAUGCAAUAAAACUGGGUUAUAGAAAAGGUAUGAUCAAAGUGUUACUUGCCUUGCUGAUGAUCCGCGAGUCCUAGGGUUUUGAAGUAACAAGCGGCGCAAUCCGGGUGAUCUAUCGCAGUCAAACAACAAGCACAGAAUAAGUACUCAUCUAAUGCACAGGUAAAACUUGAACAAGAGAACGAACCAGAAAGUUCAACUUAAGAACUCCGGUUGCAAAGAAAGAAAGAACCGAACAGACGACGGAAAAACAAACGGCGGAAGAAAACAACUCGAUUCUAGCAAGUUGAAACUAGGUCAAAUUUUACUGUAGCAAAGGCUUGUUCAAGUUGAUUAGACGGAACGGCGGUUUCAAGACGAAACUCCAGGCGUUUGAAUCACCUGAUUCCAAUAAACGAGCGGGAAGAAAGACUAGAACGAAGAUCGGAUCUGAGAUCAUGAUCGCAGAAUAAAUCCGAUGAAAAGAAAGAGAUGAACGGUUAAACGAACGGGCGUUGUUAAUCGGGAAAAAUCGGUGAUCACGUUCGUUGAGACGAACAGUCCGAAAGAAGAAUGANNNNNNNNNNNNNNNNNNNNNNNNNNNNNNNNNNNNNNNNNNNNNNNNNNNNNNNNNNNNNNNNNNNNNNNNNNNNNNNNNNNNNNNNNNNNNNNNNNNNNNNNNNNNNNNNNNNNNNNNNNNNNNNNNNNNNNNNNNNNNNNNNNNNNNNNNNNNNNNNNNNNNNNNNNNNNNNNNNNNNNNNNNNNNNNNNNNNNNNNNNNNNNNNNNNNNNNNNNNNNNNNNNNNNNNNNNNNNNNNNNNNNNNNNNNNNNNNNNNNNNNNNNNNNNNNNNNNNNNNNNNNNNNNNNNNNNNNNNNNNNNNNNNNNNNNNNNNNNNNNNNNNNNNNNNNNNNNNNNNNNNNNNNNNNNNNNNNNNNNNNNNNNNNNNNNNNNNNNNNNNNNNNNNNNNNNNNNNNNNNNNNNNNNNNNNNNNNNNNNNNNNNNNNNNNNNNNNNNNNNNNNNNNNNNNNNNNNNNNNNNNNNNNNNNNNNNNNNNNNNNNNNNNNNNNNNNNNNNNNNNNNNNNNNNNNNNNNNNNNNNNNNNNNNNNNNNNNNNNNNNNNNNNNNNNNNNNNNNNNNNNNNNNNNNNNNNNNNNNNNNNNNNNNNNNNNNNNNNNNNNNNNNNCGGCGGCUAGGGCGGCGGCAGCGGCAGCUAGGCGGCGGCGGCAGCAGCUAGAGACGGCGGCGGCGCGCGGCUCGGGGCGGGAGGCGGCAGUGGCUGCGGCUUGGGGUGGAGGGGAGGUGUAGAGGUAUUUAUAGGAGGGAGGGGAGAGGGAAACUUGGGGGAGGGGGCAAGAAAAGAGGUGGCGGCGGCUUGGAGUCCAAGCCGGACUCGGCUUGCGGCGGGGCUGGCGGCUGGCGCGAGGGGGCGGCUGGGCCUGGCCGGCUGGGCCUAGCGGGAUAUUUUUUUUAUUUUUUUUUAAAUCGGUUACACGCGCAGAAAAACAAAAGAAAGAAAAUCUAAACAAACUCCGAAAUUCCUAAAGUAAAUUUUCUCCGACUCCUAAAAAUGAGCCGAACAAAAAGAACUUUACUCCGGACCUAGAAUGCAAUUUUUGAAAACGCGCAUUUUUCCCUAUCCAAAUAAAAAGCGAACAAAAUUCCGGCAAAACCAAAAUUUGAUUUAUUCAUCAGAUCUUCAUUUUUCCUAACUUUGGGAAAGUCAUAUUAUUCCCUCUCUCAUUUUUUUUGAUAUUGGAAAAAUAAUUGAAGAUGAAAUAAAUAAAUCAAAUGAUCCUCUUUUCCAAAAUUUGAGAGAACUCAAAUAUGAAAAUAACGAAAUCUCCAACUCUCUUCGUGGGUCCUUGAGUUGCGUGAAAUUUCUAGGAUCAACCAAAAUGCAUGAAAAUAUGAUAUGCAUGAUGAUCUAGUGUAUAACAUUCCAAAUUGCAAAUUUGGGAUGUUACAGCUCUCCACCAAGUUCUAGUCGAUUCAAUGUCUACUCUUUCCGUUUUUCACUCUAGUGAGCAUGAGAUGCUGCUGAUACAUGUGCUCUUCUACCUCGGAAAGAAGCUACUGCUGCUUCGGAUUUGGGUGAACAUCCGGUAUGGAGAUGUGUGUAUGCUACGAUGAGAAGAUAAGGUAUAUGUUUUUUUAUAGACAAAGGUGUGUGUAUGCUACGAUGAGAAGAUAUGGUAUUUUUUAUAGAAUCAACGUGUGGUGGAGAGACAUGCACCGCUUUGUCACAAAACCAUCAUCCGGCUUAUAUAUUGCUUAAAUUAUUAUCACAUAUGUAAUUAGAAGAGCAAGUAUUUAGUUUUUCAUGGUUUGAUGCGUAUAUUUUGUAAUUAUUUUUCAUUUACAAACCACUAACCAUGUGUUCAUUUUUUAUUUACUCUUUUGUGGAAUGGUUUGAUUUGUUUACAUAAAAAUAUUGUUCGCAUACUGAGAAAAUUUAAAUGCAAAAAGAAAUGGAAAGUCGACACUCAAAACAAUGUUCGUGUAAAUUCAAAAUGAGCUCAUGUAUAAAAAAUGGCCUUUGGGAAAUAUCAUCUAUUGCUCUCGGAUUUGUUUUUUUAAGAAACAAUGUCAAACUCAUCAUAAACUUGGAAGAUAAACGAUACCCUACAUGGUUUACAUGAAACAAUCUUAGAACAUUCACUAGGAAAUAAACAUUGAAGCUUGGCCAUGAGAACACACAUAGUACAGAGAUGAAAAAAAGGAAAAUUUAGAAAAAGAAAGAUGGACUUUCACAUUUCUAAAAAAAUCGUGUUCAAAUUAAACUAACAUAGUAGUUCGAUGUUUUAAAAAGGAAUAAGAUUUUCCACAUCUCAACAUUAAAACCAACAUUUAAAAAAGUUUUUCUUUAAAAAACGUAUUUCCUUGUUUUCAAAAAAUACAAGAAGUUCAACUUAAAAAAAGGGGCAGUUCAAUGUUUAUUGAGAAUUAGGAUUUUUGACAUUACAAAAGAAUCAAACCAAGAAGUCCAAUUUUUAAAAAAUCUCGCGGUCUCCGGCGCAUCUUCUGGCGUCCACCCAUCCCAUCGUCGUGCUCCCCGGCGCGGCCCCCCUCCAUCAUCCCGCCAAGGCCAUAUUGCCACCAUUUCGCGCUCGUCGACGCGACAUGGCCCUCCAUCCAUUGCCACGACACGCAGCUCCUGCUACUUCGCAUCCUACGGGAGUAGGGGAGUCAGAGCCGCCACCAGAUGUCGAAUUUCUUCCUCCUCCUCACACAUCUCUGGCCAACCUCUUGCCCAUCUUCGUCUUCAACCAGAGAUGACCUUCACUCUGCCCACGUGCUGAACUUCUUCCUUCUGUUGUUCCAUCCUCCCCUCUCGGUUGAAAAAACUACAUUGCACAGUGGAGUAGAACCGUCGGUCGUGCCGUCUAGCUCCUACCGCAUCGUUUGUUUGCUGUUGGUGCGCUUGAGUGCGAGAAAUAGAUUUCUGCAAGAGAUUAGGUAGUGCUGUCGUCUUUGUUUUUUUGUUUGAACUUGAUGUUGUUCGUUGUAAAAGAAAUGAUAAGAUGUGCUUUUCUGGUCCCAUGGAACAUAUCUCGUUACUUGAAGAUGUUUUUUGAGAGUAAUUCUUUGUUUGUUCAUUAAGAAAGCCACAUACGUUUGAUAAAUCGAUAGGAGGUUCUUUGUACAGAUGGUGUUCCUGUAGAAAAAUCAAACUGACGUUUGAAAAUGUGCAGCAAAAGUUCAUGUCAAACUAACGGGGCGAUUUAAAUGUUUAUUCUUGAAAAAGUCGAUAAAAUUGUACAUGCUCUGUAGGUCAAAAGUUUGGUCUUAAUUUAUGUUUUGCGAAAGUCAAAAUGUUGUGUUCGAGAAGGUCAAGUGUGUUAUAUCAAUAAGUUCAAAAUAAAUUUAAACAUGCAAGGAAAC